rnacentral:lncRNA from 1 species
UGUCCCAUUUUGUUGUAGUGUAUGUAGACAAUUUGGUGAAUUAUACCACAUUUACAAAAUAAAGAAAUUUUUUAUUAUCAUACUCUUCCUCCAUCAGACUGGAAAGAUUUAAUUUUCUAUUAAAAGACAUUCUCAACUAAAGCCUUAAAUUCAAGAAAUUUGUCAAACACCUCUGCUUGAAUUUUAAUAAAUAUAUCCAUGAAUAGCGAGAAUAAUCAUCCACAAACAGAACAUAAUACUUGAAACCAAAAAUAGAACUAAUAAGUGCUUGCCAUACAUCAAAAUUAAUCAGUUGAAAAGAACUCAAAUUCAUUAAAGAAAAGUUUCACAUAUUUGCCAAUAUGACAUGUAUUGCAAUGAGAUAAAUUUAUUCCAAAUUCAAAGGGCACAUUAUUCUCUUUCAUAAAUUUAGACAAAAUCAAUUAACUCAAAUGGCCUAACCUCCUAUGCCAAAGAUCCUGCUGAGUGUCGAAGCAACCAAAACAGAUUUUGUCUUAUUCCCUAUGCUUUCAACUCUCGAAAAUAAAGAAUAAAAUAACGUUUCUGAACUACUGCAUCAUAAAAACUCCAUCCUGGUUUCCUUUGUCCCUCACAAAAAAACCUAGUUGAGUCAAAUUUGAAUAUUGAGUUAUUGUCACGACAAAACUAACGAACAGAAAAGCAAGUUGCAUUUUAUAUAAGGAAUAAUGAGAACAUUUUUUUAAAUCAAAAGAUUGAGUAGGAGUAUUCAAUUUUAUUUCACUAGUUUUUGCAAUAGAAAUUAGUUGUGACCAUUACUAGCAAAAAUUCUCUCUCUUCCACUAUAUGGCUUAGAAAUCAAAAGCAUAUCUGAAUCUGAUGUCAUAUGAUUAGAAGCACCGGUGUCAAGAUACCAGACCUCCUCAGGGGAUUCAUGAAGGUUCAUGUGUUAGAAAGCCCGAUGUUUUUCAUGCAUGCAGAUUUUAAAACAAGAAUACAGCAGAAUUAAUAUAGAUUAAAACUCUUUUAAUUAGAAAAGCAUGCAUAAGAUCUCAUCUUCAAAAAUACCUAACACGAUCUUCAUAUGAGAGAUGAGAUUUAGAUCUGAAAUUAUAAAAUGAAAGAGGAAGAUCUGAUCUUCACCUUGCGUAGGUAGAUAUUCACUGCGAUCCAAUGAUCCAUGGAUGUCUUCAAGGUUCCAUUGAAGCCGCACACGCGUCCGGCCUCUACAGGUAUCCACAUAAGACUGAUCUAAUCAGGAGAUCCCGAUCUCACCGGAAUGCUAGCUCCCUUGCAGAGAACGCUCCUUGAAUUGUCGAAUCUUUUUUUCUCUUUUUCUUCUCUUCUUAAUAGAACAAAAGAGAGACUAGAGGAGGAGGAAGAUACAAGAGAUCAAAUAUCUUUUCUUUUAUCCAACUCUUAGACAUCUGUGGAGAGAAAAGGAGGAAAGAGAGCCGUCCAACUCUUGAACCAAAAAGAGAGGGCGUCCAAUACCUUGGACGUGUGGAAUAGAGAGAGGGAGAGAGGUGAGGGGUCCAACAACCAAACCCCAUGCCCCUUUUCUUUCUUUCUUUUCAUGCACCAACAACAUCCUCACACCCACCCUUCUCUUGUUUUUCACACUCCACACGUUGAGAUGGGAUAAGGAGGUGCCCCUCUUAUCCCCUUUUUAAACCACAUCUCCUAGGGUUUGUGAGGAUAAGAGUCCAUGAAGAGGACUCUUCCUUUCUUUGGGCAUCACAUCUUAUGUGCACCUCAUCUUCAUGCAAAAAUGAAACCAACAUGAUUCCCUUUAGCGUGAAUCCUUCUCAUGGGGUGUGGUUCCAUUUCUGGUCCAAAUCAACAUUUGGUUAGAGUCCAAUGUGGUUGGGUUUCAUAAUAAGUCAAUGGACUUUUUGAGUCCAAACCAUUUUAGACUUGUGAAACCCAAUCUGACUCAAACUCGGAUCAAAUCCAAUCAAAUUAAAUCCCAAUUUAAUUUGACUAAGAUUCAACCCCAAUUAUUUGAUCAAAUCAAAUAAUCUAGCAACAAUUAUAAAUAAGUCCUUUAACUCACUAACUCUUAGCAAGUCCUCUCUUGUAAUUUUUACAAAUUAGUCCAAUCAUCAAUCAAAUUGAUAAUUGAAUCGUUAUGCAAUUCAAAAUUGCAAUUAAACUAUUCGAUCAGUCAGGACCUCUUAUAUGUGUGAUCCCAUAGGUUCUAUUCUGUCUGAUAGUGAGAAAUAUUGUAAUUUCUAUCAUGAAUAUCAUUGAAACUCCUUUCAAUGGAUUAGAACAAUUCCAACUUAUCAAUUGAAAAUAUUGACCAUCAAAAUAAUUCUCGUUGGUCUUAUAAUCCACCAGUGAUGUCUAGCAGUACAUCAUAGCAAUCCAGCAAAAUAGAAGGUAUUGAACCUCUAAGUGUAGUUACCGUGUGAUACAAUUCUACUAUCAUGAGUUCCGACAAGAUGAAAGUUAUNNNNNNNNNNNNNNNNNNNNGAAAAACUCAUCAAACCCCAUCAUCUGUCAUAUGUAAGAUUUAUUCGACUCAAGUUUAUACUGUAAAAUCUUCUGAAAUUUUUUUUCAUUAUUCACACUAUCAUGGCCAUAAUCUUUGGAACUCAGUCUCGUAAAUUACAUAAGACUACUCUUUAUCUAUUAAAAUCGAUAGAUUCCAUCUAGAUGCACAUCCUACUCCAACGAAUCUACUGCAAUCAAUCUGCACCGCAAAGAUCUGAAUGGUUAAAGAUCAAGUGUAUGUACAGUCAAACUACAGGAAUUUCAUUGUGAAUAGCUAAGGUACCAUAGGUCAAAAAAUCAGUCACACUAUUAUAGCAUCGAGAAAGUCACUGACAAGUGAGUAGAAUCUAAAUGACUUCUCGUGUUGAUCACGCUCGGUAUCUUUAUUCUCUAACAACCACUUGCACUCUCGCUCAGUGUCUCCACACUGUAUACUUGAGACUCGUCUAUCCGAAGAAAAUCGAUUCGUGCACUAAUCUUAUCAGUUCAAUCACCAUCCCCAUGAAGCAAUUUAAGAAUUAAUCACCAAUGACACAUGCCUCAAAUUCUCAAUUCUUGAGAAUAAAUGUCAUCAUUUUCUUAAUUCUCUGGAUGAUUUAUGGAUACAUACACUAUAUUUUCUUAAUUCUCUGGAUGAUUUAUGGAUACAUACACUACAUGAAUGGAAUUAAACUGUCCAAUCUUAUUAUUAAAUAAUAAAGUUAAGUAUCUUAAAAAGAAUAAAUGUGUCAGUCAGAUUGACUUCUAGGGCAUACAUCUAACAUCAUCACCACAAAAGUUUGUGAAAGAUUGUCAAAGAAAAAGACGUGAUUAAACCUCUAUCUGCACUGAAGAGCAAUAUGAUUGAAUUUGCCACAUACCUGGCACUGCACUCCAGUGUGUGGUAAUGAAGAGGAUGUCGGCUGAUGUGGUAGAGUCGACGGCUGGUUUUGCAUCUAUGGUUAUGAAAAAAACUUAGGAAAAAAUUGAGAUUAUAUGAAAACGGUUGUGAAGGAUAUGCUCUCGGAGAUCCUCGACCAUACGGCUAUCCACGACUUCCUCUCUGUCUGUGGUCUCCACGAGAUCUACCUCCACAACCUUCUUGAUUUCCUCGACCUCAAUUGGCAUAAAAGGCAUUGGCAUCCGGUGAUGAGUUUGCGGGAUGAUGACUUCUCCUUUGUACUUCGAUCUCCUGCAUAAGGUGAGGACGGAGUUGAUCGAAGGUGGGCUUAGUUCGGUGAGUGUUCAAUGCACUCACAAAUCCUCAAUAUUCUUCUGGAAGCCCUAAAAGAACAAUCAUCACAAGAUUAUGAUCUGACUCACCUUCUCCAAUUGCAUCGAGGGCAUCUUCGAUAGCCUUGACCUUCUAUAUAUACUCGAUCAUGCUCAUUGUUCCCUUCUUUAUGUUCUGAAGUUCCAACCUGAGAGAGAAUGCGGUGGAUGAAGUUUUAUCUAAGAAAUAUGCCUCAAUCACCGUCUAGACCUUGCACGCUGUCUUUGGUGAAGUAGAUAUCACCAUCUAUAAAAUGCUCUGAGACAAUGUCACGUUAAUCUAAGACAGUAUAGUUGUAUCUUCUUUCUUCCAAGUAGAGUAGGCUGGAUUGACCAAAACUUGUUACCGGUUCCCUCCAUUAUUUGAGAAGAAACGAUUUCCAUGCCAUUUACAUGUGAGAAGACUCCAAAACUUUCAAGCACGUUCAAAAAUACUUGUUUCCAAACAAGAUAGAUGGUGUUGGUGGGUUCAAUUGGGACCAAGAUUUUGAUGUUGACAUCAAGAAGUAGUGAAGAUACACUAGCUAUCAUAAGUUUGUUGUAAGAUGACAGAAUAAAAGUUGCAUCAAAAAAUUGAUGGUUGGUACUGUAGCAGGAUUUACUGUAACAAACUGGUACUACAACAGUACUAUUGCAACAGUACAGUAGUGGUACUGUAGCAUGCAGUAAAAAUGAGAAAAUAAUGUGAAAGAAAAGAGGUUUGAUGAUGGAUAUAUGGAUCCACAAGAGAUUGGGUAUGGGUACGUGAAAGAAAAGAGAAUGAAAAGAAAGAGACUAAUCAAUGACAGAGGAUCCACGAGAGAUGAUCACUUAUGGCAGUAGCUUACCCUAGGAUUAGAAUUUUGGUUCUGAUACCAUAAAAAAUAUGGGUAAAAGCAAUGCACCUCUCUCGAGAGUUAUAUUAAUAUUUAUAGAGAUGUAUACAAAUGACUUAGCAUAAAUGGACAUAUACAAAUAAGACAUAGAAGUGAAAAAUAAAAUAAGCCUACUAUGCUACUGCCAUAAAUACAAUAAUACUCUAACAGUGAUCUUCAUCUACAUAUGUUGAUCUUUAUAUAAAAUUGUUGAUAAUUAUAUAUUGUCAAAUUCAAAAGAAUAAAUCUACAGCUUAAGCUGUAUUGUAGUGUCUUGUUCACAAGGUGUCAGUCUAUUAUGGCCACAGGCUAUCAGCCCUAUUUCCGAAAAUAAUACUAAAUGCAGCACACCCCCAAGACUAUAGAAUAUCAGGUUUUUUUGCAUAUUAUUUUAAUCUUCGAAAAGAGACCAAGAUACUUUGGAUAUUCCAAAGACCAUGCUUGAAAAAGAAGUUGGGCAACUGUCUUUUUGAACAAAGUCAUGUACCAGAUACAAGUCCCCAUGGGAAAAUCACAAAAUCACUCGAGCUGCAUGCUUCUCUAGACCAAAGAUGUGGCAGCAUUGCAUCCUUUUCUGCUUUUUUCUUUUGGAUAAUAAGCCUUUAGGCUGGACGCCAGCCAGUGAAGCACAAAAAUUUAGCAUUGACUGAAGUCCUUGAACAGUGGGCUAAUUUGCCAGCAAAAGAUGCAGCAUGAAAGUCUUACUAUUCCCUGGAAAAAUUUUAGGGGUUCAUUGCAAACCAACCUUGCCUUCAGGAUCAACGAAUAAUGGCUUUUCUAGUUUAAUGAUCCUUUUUUCUCAGAGGUUUCUUUGCUUGGUUUUUGAAAUAAUCAAGGAUUAGCCACCUCAGAUUUCUUUUUCUUUUCUGUUCUUUCUUGUUAAGUUUAGGGAGAGAUGAGUCAUUUUGCUUCUUUUAUUUCAAUGCAUCAUAGGCCAUAAAUCAAGCAAUUGUUAAGAAUUAGCCUAAAGGCUUUGGUGGUUCUUAGUGAUCUCUCUUCAUUUCUUGUUAUUUUUCUCUUUAAUUUUUCAUUGUCUUUGCUCUAGCUGUUGUUGAUGGUGAUCUAGGGUAUUAUCAUGUGGGAGUACAGUUUGUCAUGUGGAGCUGGUGUCUUUACAAGGCUGAGUUAUUAAACUUCACCAAGCAUCCCCAUCUGAGUCUUCCCCUAUUGCUGAAUGACACUCAAAAAACUUUAUAGUGCUUUCUCCCAAAAACCAUCUUAAGAUGGUUGAAGUAAACAAGGUUAUUCUGGACAAGCCUGAAAUCUCUAUCAUUAUUUUCUAAGGAAUUUUGGCUCUCCAAUCCCCACCCUGCUUUUUCUAUUUUUAAGUGAAACUCAUGAAUAGAAUCUGAGCAAAUAAGAUGUCUAUCAUUUAUUUGCUAGGAAAUUUUCUCCUACACCCUUAUCCCCACCCUGCUUUUUCCAUUUUUACACAAAUUUUAUGAAAAGAAUCUGAACAAAUAUGAGAUCUCUAUCAUUUAUUUGCUAAGAAAUUUUCACCCACCACCCUGCUUUUUUCAAUGUUUAAGCGAAUUUAAUGAAGAGAAUCUGAAGAAGCAAGUGAUCUCUAUCAUUUCUUUGUUAGGAAAUUUUCUCCUAGACUUUCCCACCCCCCCCCCCGGCCCUUUUCUCAAAAAAAAAAAAAAGAAAGGAUGUUCUCAGUCUUCUCCCAUCAUUGUCGAGCCCCAAGUUCAUAUCAUUGUGGUGUACUGGAUAUCUGUCGCGCACUUGUGCCGUCCAUUUAGUUUCAAGUUCUUCGGCAUGUAUUUAGGUUUCCACCUACAUCCAGACUCCUUUCGAAUUCUUUUAUCUUGUAUUGGGUUAUUGAAGGUUUUCACAUACCCAUUUCCUAUUUCUUUCAAUCUUUUUUGCAAUUGAAAAACAUUUAGGAAGUGUUCGGUUGGGGGUUGGGGUCUGGAAUCGAAAUGGAAAUGAGUGACUCCCAUUCCAACCAUUUGAUUGGGAGGAGUCCCAUUCUGAUUCCAAAUCUGGGACGGAAUGGGAAUGGCCCAAUCUAUCUAAAACUCAAUUCCUACUCUCCCCCAAGGAUUCAAAUUUCUAAUUCCGAUUUCGAUCACAAACCAAAUGCUUUGGGAGAUUUGGCCAUUCCGAUUCCGAUUCUAAUUGUGAACCAAACAUCCCCUUAACGGAAUCAAAAAUUUGAAUCCUCAGAGGAGAGUAGGAAUUGAGUUUAGAUGGAUUGGCCAUUCCCAUUCCACUCCAGAAUUGAAAUCGGAAUGAGACUCCUCCCAACCAAAUAAUUGGAAUAGGAGUCCGUCAUUUUCAUUCCAAUUCCAUUCCAAUUCCAGACCCCAACUCCCCCCAACCAAACACCCCCUAAGGCUAUCCAACCCUAUAGAGAUCUUUUCUCUUUAUCAUGCUAAACUAAAGAGUUACAACAGUCCUACCAUAUUUAGCCUAUCAGAAUGUUGAUGCCUGUGCUGUUUGGGGUUCUUGAUCUUUUUGGAUUUGAACAGCCAUUGUUAGGUUUCUACUACUUAGGUAAGUUAAUGGAUCACUUAAGGAUCUUCAGCUUCAAUAUUCAGUAAGAUUUCUUGACCAAAACAGCACAUAUAUGUUAUUAAGUUGCCAUUUUUAUGGUGUUAUGGCCAUCUUAUUUAAUUGCUGGAAAAGAACUUUUCUAUUGCAAGAUGCAGGCAAUCAGCAGCACCCAAACAUAUUUAAUCCUAGUACCAUAAUAACAUCAUCUUAGAAUGCAAAUAAUUAUAUGAACUGAAAACAACAGAAAACAUAGAAACUUUCUUGACCUUUUAGAAAAAGCUGGAACAGAAUUCUGAAACAUCUAAAACAGUUGUGUUCCUCAGCUUGAAGUAAACAAUAGCACUCAAAAAGGUUCCAGGAGAAAGUGAUGGACAUUCAAGGAUCAUGCAGAUCAAGACAAUUGCCUGAAAUUAUUUUGGAACAGGCAAAAACAAAUAAAGGACUAGAAUUUGCAUGUCCAAGCAUAAUCUUAUUUUUUUCAUGAAGAGAAGCAGAAACUAGUGUGAUGUAUGUCUAGAGAUGUCAAUGGGGACGGAUACCCAAAUAUUUUACCCAUCUCCGAACCGAACAGAGCAGUUUUAACCGAAAUUAAAUGAGGAUGGUUUCAGCAGUAGUUUUAAAAAUAAAAAACCAUUUCAGUUUUAGUUUCGGUUUUGGUAAAUUCCCCAACCCGAACGUGAACCCGAAAUUGAACUCGACAUCAAACCCGAAACCAAAGAUACCCACUAUCUCUGAGUACCCUUUAUAUUUAGCAUAAAUCCUAGCCCCUAUCGCAUUAAAUCUGGACCAUCUAUAGACCAUAGAUGGGUCAAUGACAAAAUGGACAAACCCUAGAGGCUAGAGGGGUAGCUUUUUUUCCCUCCCUUCAGUUCUUCUAUGUGAUUAUUGUGUUUGUUGGACUUCUUUUGUUUGAUAUAGUUGGACUUGUUUUUAACUUGGAUUAUUGUGUUUGUUGGAUGGUUAUAUAAUCAUUAUAAAAUUAUUGAGAUUGUUGGAUGGUUGCAUUAUUAUUUUAGAAUUAUUGAGUUUGUUGGAUGGUUGUGUUAUUAUUUUUAGACAUAUUUAUUAGUUGAGUAGGUAUGAAUUAUAUGAAAUUACAGAUGAUAUCUUUAAUCUGGAUAUUUAUAUACAAAUUUUUGAAAUGAAUAAAAAAAUUAAAAUAUUUUCAGUUUUUGGAUUUCGAUUUGGUUUUAUGUUUAUUUUGGGGGUGGUUAUGGAUUUUGAUUUCAAAAACCAUUCAGUUUCAGUUUCCGUUUUGGGAAGCAAUGGGGAUUUCGGGUUCAGUUUCAGUCUUUUCAUUAACCACACCAAAUCCACCCUGAUGAAAUCCUUAUGCAUGUCACAUGUUAGUAUGCACAGAAUUCUAAAUGCAACUUGUUCUUCAACGACGGAAAGAUAUCGAUAGGAGGUAGCUAUAUGGAAGGUAAACAUACUGUGAUACAUUACCUAGUAUACGAAAAUUCUCCAUUAGCUCUGCAAAUAAAAGUACUAAAUACUAAAGCAGGUGUCCAUCUAUCAAAGAUUCUAGAACCGCAGAAAGGUAAAAGCAGAAAUCAUUUGUAAUCGAUGCAAAAGGAUAAAAGCAGGCAUGAAGAUUGAACAAGUAGAAUCACCUUCUGUUCGCGUACAAGUUUCAGAGAAUUACGCAAUAUUUCCUCCUUCACAACAACCUCAAGUAUGUCAUCGAUGGCACCUGGGUUUCUCCAAUGGCUAGGCAAUCACAAGGAAAAUUUAAAACAUCAACACUUCAUCUCAUCAUUUGAUGCUAGGAUCCAAUGUCUAACUGUAGUAGUAGUACUAAUGAAGCAAAAUGUGCCCUCAUAUACUAUUUAUUAUGUGGUUGACAGAUGCAUCUACUGAUAUUCAAUGACUCCCAUCUAAAUUACCUAUAUAUUCAUUGCCGACUUCUUUAAUUCUCAACACUGAUCAGAGCCAUUACUAGAGCCCUUAAUUUUUGUUGCACCAGAUUAAGACUGAGGAUACUUUAAUCUGGCAGACAUUUCCCAUGACCUAGUCCAUAGCUGGUUGAUAACAGCCCUACCUGUUGACAUGUUCAUCCAACUGUAACAGAACAGUACAACCUGAUAGAGGCCAACACAUACUUGUAACCUUGAGCCACUUGAGUUUUCUAAUCAAUUGAGUGUACCACCUGAAUUUCCUUUUUCUUUUUGAACAACAGAAAACACAUAUACAUUACCAUAACAAUUAUGAGGCCAGAGAAAUUACAUAACAAAUGAUGCUGAAUUUGAUAGCUACAGCAAAAUUAAUACCUAAAAUAUCUUGCAGACCUUUCUUUUAGACUCUCUAACUUUUUUAAUGGGAUAUUCAAAAAGUGAUCCAUGGAAUACUAAUCAGUAUACUGGCAAGCAGGUAGACUACCAUGUGCUGGCCAGAUCGAUUCAGUAGUCACUAAUUGUUAAAUUGUUUUCUCUUCACUAGUAAGAACCUAAACCUCGAGCUGGUGUUACCUUCAGUUUAUGUAAAAAACUCUUUUGGUUUCAUGAUGAUGAAAAGCGAAUUCCAUAAGUAUGCUUAUUUUCUUUUUUUUAAUCCAAAUAAUCAAAGUUCUUUUCAAAUACCAUAAUCUAAACUCUGCAUGCUUAGUUCAGGUUUGUUUGCAUGUCAAUUAAUUUAAUCUUUGCUUGUUUCUUAUUUUUCUUCAUAUUUGGUACAGAUACCUUGUGAAGCAUAUAAUAAAGCAGAGAAUGACAUGUCUUAUAGGCAUUAGUCAUUUAUUGAAAAUUCCAAAUACAAAUACAUAAGAAACCUAAUUCAAAAAUAUCUAUCUCACAUAACAAUGUCACUACAAGUUCCUAGACAGAGGGAAACACCACAUUAGAUUGCUACAGAUUUGGUAUUGUAUGUUCAUACAGAUGAAACAAAAAAUUUUCAUUAGAAGAUUCUAAAACUCUAACAGGAAUUGAUAUGAGCUGGUUAUCAAUGCAUGUGCCGCAACACCUCAACCAAAAAUUCUAAAUUAAGGACUUCAAGUUUUGUUCUGGAUGCAGUUUGAGGGUUUGGGGGGUGGGGAUGGUGGCAUGUAUAUUAAUUCAGUAUAGAAAUACAGAAGCACAUGCAAUGCACAUGAUGAAAAUAUGAAAAAGUGAACAAGUAAAUGUGUAAUGUUCUAAUAACCUUUUUUGUUGAGCUACCUAGGUCGCAGUGAUAGUCAGCUACUAGGGCUCAAGAUUCGAACCCAAGAAAUGAGUUAAAUAUCAUGUGCUGAUGGUACCAUGCCCAUGUCAUGUGUUGGUAAGGCAUUUGCCUAAUACAACUAGUCCUGAGCAAAUGUGAUCCACAUGAGAAGAAGAAGGAGAGAUAGUUACAAUCUCAAUCUGAUUGAAUAUCUUCUGUAAUCGAUGUUGGGUUGAAAAAUAUACUCCAGCAGCCCAGCUGGCUACCUCACCUUUCUUGCUCCUUGCUUUGAAAGUUGCAUAAAGACUGGUGCAUUCAGUAAAAGAAGUGCAUAUCUGCUAAAAUAACCUUGAGGCAUGGCAAUGGUCAAUAGGCCAAGUCCCCUGAUAAGUCUAUGUCUGACUCAUAAGAGACCAGACCAUACAAGCAAUGGAUAGAUGAAAGGUGGAAUUGGUCACAUUAGUAAUGGGUAGAUGAAAGUGGAGCUAUGCCACCACAUAGGGAGAUAAAAACAGAGUUAGACAUGAAGCAUUGAAGACUACGAUCUUUUACCAAAAACUAAUAACAGUAGUAUUGUGCCCACUGUUAAAAUUUGAUGAUCAAGAUAAAUAAAGGAUUAGUAAAUGAGCAUUUUGUCAUUCAAAUCAUUUGUUCGUUUAGAUGCUUAAAACAUUGCACAUUGUUUUAAAUUCAAUCAAAAGUAGUAUAGCCUAUAUCAAAAAUAUUUUUUUGACCGUAGCUUUAGCAAUGACAUUAACAGGUUCACUCACCUCUUCGCAUAAGAUGGAACCUACCAUGUUGAGAUGAGCACAACAUGCAAUAAUGCAAAUAUACUUCCUAUCAUAAACUUCAGUGGUUGAAUUUUGCAUUAAGCUUCUUCCAUUGAAAUUCUCUAAAAUCUGAAACCUACCGUUCGUUCAUAAGGUGGAACAUUCAUGGUGCUUUAAUUCUUAAGAUUAUAGUUUUACUUCAAUCAAGAGCAAAAUAUAAGAAGUAAUUAGCUAAUGAACCAAGAAAAUAACAAAUGUCUAUCAAACAAGGGCAUCCAUCCAUCAAUGGAAAAUCAUGACCUUAUGUAAUGCCUUGUUUCAUUAUUUGGUAAACCAUUACACCCAAGAUGUUAAAUUCCGUAGGAUGGGGCUAUCCCGAUUUUCUCAUGGAACGAGAUGCACCACCAUCCUACCCCGUCCCAACGCUUGGAACAAGAGAUAUCAAUGUCCCGAUCGAGAUGCUGAGAUGCUAGUGGGACGGCUCUAUCCCAACACAUGGGAUGGUACCCCAUCCCAAUAUCCCACGGGACAUCCCGUUAGGACUUGAAUCCUUGAUUACGCCAUGCUUACGCUCCCUUCCAUUGCCUAUCUUUGAUGUAUAUACUAAAAAGAGCAGCCUUCAACCUCAUAAGUGGAAUCAGUCCUUUUAUACAUAGUCAUAUUAUAUCAUAAUGCCAACUUUUUUCCAAUAAAUCCACUAAUCUAGCCAUGAUGUUGCUCCGUUGUUUUGCCCACUGAAAUUGAUGGAUCCAGAUACUUAAAACAGAAGACCUUGAUGUCAUAAACAAUGAAAAGCUAAUAAUAAAUUCUAGGUCUGCCCUCUUAAUCUUAGAUCCGCCCAGGGCCCACCCAGAAAAAAGACCUGACAUGGCCCAAAGCCCCAAAGUGAUGGGUUGAACAUGGGCUUAAUCUUAGACCGAAGCGAGCUUGGGUUGAAUUGCAGUGAACCUGGACUUGGAACCUACCUCACCACUUGCAGCCUAGUCCCCAAAGUCACUUGCGUGUCUAAAUUUGCAAGAGCUUUCCACACAACAGUCCUUUAUAAAUCAUAUUAAGUUGAAAGCUAGGCUUUUAUAUUCAAAAGCAUGUAGUGAAGGACUGCAAAAGAAAUUUUUAGAUGGAGAAAAGUUUGAUAAACGGUUAUGGUAACACCUCAAGUUCCUGUUUACUGCAUCAAUUUUCUCUUGCACUUGUCUUAUCCGAUUGCGACAUUCCUGCAUAAGAAUUUGGAACUGUCAAUCGAAGUACUGAAAGGCUGCAUUACCGAUUCGGAUUAAUGUCUGCAAAAGGAGCUUACAUCAGCCUCAUCAGAUCUGCAGGGACCAUAAACAAAGUAACUUAGGGAAGUAAAAAAUUUGAGUAAUGGGGCUUACUUAUGUAGUAAGAAAUGAUGUAAAUAGGAAUUCAUACCCAGACAUGUUAUGCUGAAGCAGACUGUCAGUAUUGAUUUCAUGACCUCUCUUUCUAUAGGCAUUUUUCAGUGACUGCCACCAAUACAAGGAAGGAUGUAAAAGUAUUACUAAAUACAAGAUCUGAGAUAAGAAAUUAUAUAUCAGAAUAUUAAAUGUAUUUAUAUUUCAAAUGGAAUAAGUUCAGAUCUCACAUCAAUAACCUGCUGCCUCCUGUAGCAAUCAGGGGGAAAAGAUCUUAAAUUAGAAUGUCAUCUAUUUCAUCAGAUAAGACGGUAGUUAUGUGCUCCUCAAGGGAAGUUAUAAGCAACAUACCUCCUCUCUCGCAUAACAGGAUCAAUACUUGCAAAUCUAUCUAGAAUUGACAGCAGGUCACUGCAAAAGAAUAACCGUCAAUUAUAACACAGGCAGCUAAUUUGAAUGAAUUGACAAUUUUGUAAGGAAAUAGAAUCAUACACUACAUGUCAAGCAUAUAAAACAACAAAUUCAUGCAUCUACGAAGUGUAUAGACAGGUGCAGACAGACAGACAGAUAUCUACAUACAUGCUCGUAAAUAUGGCNNNNNNNNNNNNNNNNNNNNNNNNNNNNNNNNNNNNNNNNNNNNNNNNNNNNNNNNNNNNNNNNNNNNNNNNNNNNNNNNNNNNNNNNNNNNNNNNNNNNNNNNNNNNNNNNNNNNNNNNNNNNNNNNNNNNNNNNNNNNNNNNNNNNNNNNNNNNNNNNNNNNNNNNNNNNNNNNNNNNNNNNNNNNNNNNNNNNNNNNNNNNNNNNNNNNNNNNNNNNNNNNNNNNNNNNNNNNNNNNNNNNNNNNNNNNNNNNNNNNNNNNNNNNNNNNNNNNNNNNNNNNNNNNNNNNNNNNNNNNNNNNNNNNNNNNNNNNNNNNNNNNNNNNNNNNNNNNNNNNNNNNNNNNNNNNNNNNNNNNNNNNNNNNNNNNNNNNNNNNNNNNNNNNNNNNNNNNNNNNNNNNNNNNNNNNNNNNNNNNNNNNNNNNNNNNNNNNNNNNNNNNNNNNNNNNNNNNNNNNNNNNNNNNNNNNNNNNNNNNNNNNNNNNNNNNNNNNNNNNNNNNNNNNNNNNNNNNNNNNNNNNNNNNNNNNNNNNNNNNNNNNNNNNNNNNNNNNNNNNNNNNNNNNNNNNNNNNNNNNNNNNNNNNNNNNNNNNNNNNNNNNNNNNNNNNNNNNNNNNNNNNNNNNNNNNNNNNNNNNNNNNNNNNNNNNNNNNNNNNNNNNNNNNNNNNNNNNNNNNNNNNNNNNNNNNNNNNNNNNNNNNNNNNNNNNNNNNNNNNNNNNNNNNNNNNNNNNNNNNNNNNNNNNNNNNNNNNNNNNNNNNNNNNNNNNNNNNNNNNNNNNNNNNNNNNNNNNNNNNNNNNNNNNNNNNNNNNNNNNNNNNNNNNNNNNNNNNNNNNNNNNNNNNNNNNNNNNNNNNNNNNNNNNNNNNNNNNNNNNNNNNNNNNNNNNNNNNNNNNNNNNNNNNNNNNNNNNNNNNNNNNNNNNNNNNNNNNNNNNNNNNNNNNNNNNNNNNNNNNNNNNNNNNNNNNNNNNNNNNNNNNNNNNNNNNNNNNNNNNNNNNNNNNNNNNNNNNNNNNNNNNNNNNNNNNNNNNNNNNNNNNNNNNNNNNNNNNNNNNNNNNNNNNNNNNNNNNNNNNNNNNNNNNNNNNNNNNNNNNNNNNNNNNNNNNNNNNNNNNNNNNNNNNNNNNNNNNNNNNNNNNNNNNNNNNNNNNNNNNNNNNNNNNNNNNNNNNNNNNNNNNNNNNNNNNNNNNNNNNNNNNNNNNNNNNNNNNNNNNNNNNNNNNNNNNNNNNNNNNNNNNNNNNNNNNNNNNNNNNNNNNNNNNNNNNNNNNNNNNNNNNNNNNNNNNNNNNNNNNNNNNNNNNNNNNNNNNNNNNNNNNNNNNNNNNNNNNNNNNNNNNNNNNNNNNNNNNNNNNNNNNNNNNNNNNNNNNNNNNNNNNNNNNNNNNNNNNNNNNNNNNNNNNNNNNNNNNNNNNNNNNNNNNNNNNNNNNNNNNNNNNNNNNNNNNNNNNNNNNNNNNNNNNNNNNNNNNNNNNNNNNNNNNNNNNNNNNNNNNNNNNNNNNNNNNNNNNNNNNNNNNNNNNNNNNNNNNNNNNNNNNNNNNNNNNNNNNNNNNNNNNNNNNNNNNNNNNNNNNNNNNNNNNNNNNNNNNNNNNNNNNNNNNNNNNNNNNNNNNNNNNNNNNNNNNNNNNNNNNNNNNNNNNNNNNNNNNNNNNNNNNNNNNNNNNNNNNNNNNNNNNNNNNNNNNNNNNNNNNNNNNNNNNNNNNNNNNNNNNNNNNNNNNNNNNNNNNNNNNNNNNNNNNNNNNNNNNNNNNNNNNNNNNNNNNNNNNNNNNNNNNNNNNNNNNNNNNNNNNNNNNNNNNNNNNNNNNNNNNNNNNNNNNNNNNNNNNNNNNNNNNNNNNNNNNNNNNNNNNNNNNNNNNNNNNNNNNNNNNNNNNNNNNNNNNNNNNNNNNNNNNNNNNNNNNNNNNNNNNNNNNNNNNNNNNNNNNNNNNNNNNNNNNNNNNNNNNNNNNNNNNNNNNNNNNNNNNNNNNNNNNNNNNNNNNNNNNNNNNNNNNNNNNNNNNNNNNNNNNNNNNNNNNNNUUCUUUCAUUUGAUGCGGACAUAUACUGGAGGAAGAUCUUAAGAUCGGGUAUCACACGAUUUACUACCAACUACAUAGCACUUGAUUGUCUUCUUAAAAAAAAAACAGCCUUACGUCAGAUGUUUGUUAGUACCGAAUGGCAGAAAAGCAGAUAUGCAAGGACCGACACUGAUGGAAGUCAUGUGGAGAACUUGAUGACCAGUCAAUCAUUCUGACAGCGGGCUAAGAAGGUAGUGAAGGCUAUUAAGCCAUUAUAUGAGGUGCUUCGCACCGUGGAUAGUGAAAGAUACCCCCAGAUGGACUUCUUAUAUUACAUGAUGGAGAGAGCAAAGAAACAGAUCAGUGAGAAUGAUCCGAAGCAUGCUCAAGAAUUCAUUAACAUCAUUGAGCACCGUUGGGACUAUCAGAUGGGUAAAGAUUUACAUCUAGCCGAUAAGCAUAAAUUCAAGAAUAUUUUAAAAUAUUUUUUCUUAUGCUUGUAAAAGUAUACUUAAUCAGUCAUGAAAUUUAUCUGCAGAUUAUUUUUUGAAUCCAAGAUUACAGUAUACCAUUCCCGGGAUAGAUAUGGGCAACGAGCUUCUUGCUGCUCUUCGUAAUAUAAUAAUAUAAGAUGGUGUCCGAUCUAGAAAUCGCGUCGUUGUGUCUGCAAGAGGUAUACUAGUUUCAAACAGAUGUAAUUAUUCAACUGAAUUCGAUCUGUACUCAACGAUAUAUUUAUAAAUUUAAUAAAAAAAAUUUUACAGAAAAAAUAGUUUAGAGAGAGAUCAAACAGCUUUGGAGUCCCAUCAGCUGUCGUAAGCAAAAAGUAGAUGAAUCCAGGUAAAUUACAUAUCAAUAAUGAGCAGCAUAGAUUCAUAUGUAAUUUUAUUUAAUAAUAUCAUAAAAUUUGAUAUGUAAUUUUAUUUUUACAGCUAAAUAAUGGAUUCAUUUUGGAAUGUCUGCAGAAUAUUUGAGAGGUGUGGCUGUCCGUAUUCUUUCUUAGACGAUCUUUGCUAGUGGCUAUGAGCGCAAUUGAUCGACUUUCGUCCUUAUCCGCAUCAAACAGAAAAACCGUCUGACACAAAAAUACCUCAAUGAUUAUGUAUAUAUUCACUACAAUCUGAGGUGGAGGCUAAAAUGCAUUCAGAAGAAAGUACAACUGAAGUACACUAAUCUGAUGCUAGAUGAUUAUGCUGACGAAGACGACGAUCUGAUCAUCAGAUGACUUGCAGGUCAGCAGCAGGAGCCAGAGCUUGAUGAACCGGGGUCCCCUCCACGACCAGCCAGUGUGGUAGCUAGGGAGAUCCGGAUGGAUCCAGGGCAAUGGACAGAAAGGAAUAUUCCACAUAAGGUUCCAGCUGAUCAGCCACAGCCUGAGGGGACACAGGAGACUCAUUCAUCACAUAACUCGAUGUCUGAUACAUCUUCGCAGAUGUUCGAACGAUAGAUGUAUAGACGAGGUCGGCAGUCAGCAAGAAGACAUCCAUCCUCUCACUCACAGAAAACUCAGUCACAAAGGGGCACAAGGAAAAAAAGAAAAGACAGUUGCACGUGCACCACUCUCGAGAGUACAUGAGCUAUCUGGCUCAGAUUCAGACACCAAGAAGAGUGAUGAUAAUACUACUAGUAGUAGCCAUGGAUCUAAUGAUCAGAGAGAAACUGGAGGACGGGAGACUACUGUUUAUGAGACAGCCACAGGAUGAUAUUCGAUUCAUCGGUGAGUCUCAGUUUACAUAUACCACACAAGAUAGGGAUCAUGAUGGACAAGUCGGUAGAGACCGUGGAGAGCCGAUUUCAUAUAGACGACGGGCUCCUAGAGAUCGUCCAGCACACGAUGCAGCUGCAGAUGAUCUUACACAUAGAGUAAAAUUCAUGGAUGUAUCUGAAUCAUCCUUGCAUUAUGGAUCCUAUUAUCCACAGCCACUUUAUGAUCCAUAUGGAUAUGGUGCAUCCGAGACAUCGUCUUCUAGUGGUUACUAUCCUAUGCAGUCUGGAGCAUCUUACGGAUCAGAUUUUACUACCGGCAUAUUCGGAUGGACUCCUCCACAGCCAUACCAUCAUCCCGAAGAUACUUCUCAGAGCCAGAGUUUGAAUGAGAGAUCUGAGAUAUCUUACAAUCCAGAAAGGAUGCCUUAUGGGAUGAAUAUUCAAGAGUACGGUGCAUCUUGAUUAGAGGGUUAGACUGAUGUUCCUCCAGAUUAUAUUAAUGAUCCAGAUAUCUACGAGCGUCACAGACACUCGAUGAAAAAUUAAAUGCAGAGUAGAGCUUAAGGUUAGUAUAUCAAUUAUUGUGCUUUGUACUUUAAAUGUUUAGAUAUAUUUUAAUGUAUAUUUUAUAUAUUUUCUCUUUAAUUUUAGGAUGAUAUAGUUAUAAUAUAAUGUAAAUAAAUAUAUAUUUGAAAUUUUGGAUCAAGAAUCCUUGUACCGCUACCUAACUCAAAAAUUGAACCCAAAUAUGUCAAUAAUAUGCAAUAUAAUGCAAUUUUGAAGUUUUAUUUAUGAAUUAAUAACUUGAAUNNNNNNNNNNNNNNNNNNNNACCCACAAAAAAAAAAUAAAUAUAUCGGUACCGAAUCGGUACGCCGAAGCAUACUGUGUCGAUACAGUACGGUACCAAUACCGUACAAUACGGAUCCACCACCGAUACGGUGUCCAGUAUCAAUACAGCGGUCCUUGAUCCACCCAUUUAUAAACGGGUUGAUUUCAAGUUGACCAUAAGGUUUUAAAUCCCACGAGAUGAACAUAUUCUGAUUUCUCCAUGGAAUAGGAUACCCCGCUAUCCCGUCCUGUCCCAUCUCAAUAGCAAUUCCGAUCAUGCAUCCCUAUGGAUAUCUUCCAUCUCUCUCCUCCUCUUCUUCUCUUUUUACUUGCUUUCCUUCUCUUUUUUUCUUUCUUUCCUUCUUUUCUUUCUUUUCUUUUACCUUCCUUUCUCUCCUCUUCUUUUUCUUUCUUUUUCUUUCCCUUUACUUUCUUUUUUUGAUUUUCUUGUUCUUUCCUUUCACUUUUUCCUUUUCUCUAUCUUUCCUUCCUUUCCUUCUUUCCCCUUUCUUCUUCUCUCCUGCAUGGACGGGUUUUAAAGUUCCAAACCCAUCCCGAUCCCAUUUUCUCACAAAAAUGGGAGGAGGCAGCAAGAUGCCCCCCCUAUCCUACCAGGACAUAAAAUCUUGGUUGACCAUUUCAGGCUCAAAUUUGAAAAUGGCCAAUCCAAAUUUAUUUUUGGUGGGUUCAUGGUGGCAGGUCCAGGUCAAGUUCUGCUACCUUAGGAAGAAAUGAAGGACUAAUAUACAAAUGAUAGCUUUGAGUUUGGGGCAUAUAUAAUUGUGUCAAGCUACUCUAGCUUUCAUCGACAUCCAUGAUCCAACCAAAGUUUGCUUUCUCAAUGCUAGUAGGGAAGAAUGGUAAACUUCAAGAUUUGAGGAUAUUUUACAGCAAAAUAUUCGAAUCUAGCCUAAACUUCAUCAAAGUCCAAAACUCAUUAAAACCUUCAAAGAGUUGCUCCUUGACUUCGUGGAAUUCAUAAAGUUGCCAAUAGCACCCUCCAAAUCUACUAGGCCCAUAAGAAUCUACUCGCACCCAAAAUUUAAGCUAGGUUGAUUCUGAUGCAUUGACCAAGACUUUUUUUGCAAAUAAGUUAUGCGCGCAUGACGAUGUGCAAGAAACAUAAUUGGCCACUUGUCACUCAUACAAGAGGACAUAUGUAGAUAGUUUAGCGAUAGAAUUAACUUCCCAAAGGAAGUUGUCAAGCCACAUAGAAAUAUACCACCCAAAAAUAGAAGUUAUUUAGGUAAUGGAACUACCGGUACCCACCACCUAAAGGACAUUAUUGCUUUGAAUUUGCAUGGUAAAAGGAGGAAGAAAGAUUCGUUGCUCUCUUCCUCAACAUAUUUGAACUACACCACAUCGACUAGGUGUCCAUCACCUUCUACCUUAAACUUCAAUCCUAUGAAGUGCUUGGUCCCCUCCCAGAAUUCUAGGAUCCAAAGCAUUUCUUUAGGGUGGAAUAUUUUCUAAUCAUCAAUGGAUGUGAUUCCAAGACUGCCUGAAAAGUGAAGAUCUAAUUUACUCUCACAUGGACGUCAACUAGUCCACAAAGCAAAGUUCAAUCUAUCUUUGCAUGGAUGUUGAGGAACCCAUAAAUUGGAGACUCAACUGGCCUGCACAUGGAGGUAGAGAUACCCAUAGAGUGUAGGGUCAACAUGCCUGACCCUGGAGUUUCAGUGAUUCGUCAAUUUGGCAAUGGACAUCUUUCUAUCAUCAAGGAAGUGGCCCAAGUCUCACCUACAAGCAAAGGAGUCGACUUACUGCUUCUACAUGGGGAUUAAGUAAUAAAUGGUCAUGAUUGGAGUGGUAAAGUCAAGUUAUUCCUCCCCCUCUUGUCAUGAUUAAUUCUUUAUAUAUAUAUACACGUUGUAUCACAAGCAUUAUUAUUUAAAUCCAUUUAUUCUUUUCUCAUAUCCUCUCUUUGUUUUAUUUUCCUUAUACCAACCACUUAGCAAAUAUUAAGUCUUCUUACUUGGGACAUGAAAAAGGAUUAAAAUAUCUCUAAUCAAUUUAAGCCAUAAUCGAUCAUGAAGUGCUCUUUUUAAAAUAUGCAGAUAAGGUCCCAAAAAAUGGGCACACGAUAACAUAAAUUUAAGGGUCGACAUGCACUGCAUGACAUAUCAGGACACAUUUUGCCAAUGAAUUAUUGGGAUACAAAAUUGGCAUGAAUCAGUUGCAUUCCCAUUUUUGACAUGUUUUUGCAUCAGUGCAUGCCAUAAAUGCGCAAGUAUUGGCAUGAAAUAGCACAACACAUGCUAUGCCAAUGCCAAGUUGGUAUGUCAUGCUUCAAUCCAUGCUCGAUAAUUAGCAGUGCUACCAGAUCAGGUUGGGUCUCCACUUCACUACUCUCGAACUAGUAACCCAAUUGCGGGUCUAAUUUUUUUACAAAACCUAUACAUUGAGGGAUUGGAUUGGGUCGAGGUUUGGGUAAUAAAAAUGCAUAGGUCUGAGUUGAAUGGAGGGUUUGAUUCGGGAACCCAUCUAGUAUCAAGCAUUAUUCAUUGAAGAGUUAAUCAAAUUAAACAAUCCAUGCUUUGAAAAUUUUGUCAAUGGAACAUGCAAUAACAAGUACUUGAUGAUUAACUAUAUAACAAUCAUUGAUUAAAAGCUGAGAAGAUGACUAGCCUGGGUGCACAACCUAUGCACAUAGGACUCUGAUUGUAGACAACCUAGAGGGGCACGCCACAUGCAAAGGUCUCACAUCUCAGGCAAAAAGGAUGCACAUCCCAUGUAGAUGAAUGAUGGUCUGAACUGUGCAUGAUCACCAUAGGGGACCAUCGACACACGAUUGAGCUAGGGGUGCAAGGCUAUGGUGGAGUACACCGAGCCAGCGAGCACCACAAGGCCUCCACAUGACCUACAAGCAAAGGAGUCGACUUACUCCUCCUACAUGGGGAUCGAGUAAUAGUUGGUCUUCUCCUAUCUUUUUAUUUUCUUUAUACCAAUUGCUCAACAAAUAUUAAGUCUUCUUACUUGAGACAUGAAAAGGGACCUAAAUACCUCCAAUCAAUCUAAGCCAUAAUCGAUCAUGAAUUGUGAUUUUUAAAAAUAUGCAAAUAGGGUUGCACAAAAUGGGCACUCGAUAACAUAAGUUUACGAGCUGACCUGCACAACAUAGCACAUCAUGACACAUUUUGCUAAUGAAUUAUUGGUAUGCAAAAUUGGCAUGAAUCGAUUGCAUUCCUAUUUUUGACAUGUGUUUGUAUCAAUGCAUGUCAUAUAUGCCCAAGUAUUGGCAUGAAACAACAAAACACAUGCCAUGUCAAUGCCAAGCUAGUACCUCAUGCUCCAAUCCAUGCUCAAUAAUUAGGGUGCUACCAAGUCAGGUUGGGUCUGCAUUUCACUACUCUCUAACCAGUACCCUCGUUCCGGGUCUCAAUUUUUCCCAAGACCUCUCCAUUGAGGGAUUGAAUUGGGGCCAGGUUCAGGUAAUAAAAGUAUGCAGGUCCAAGUCAAAUGGAGGUUCGGUCCUGGUAUCCAUCAAGUGUCAAACAUUAUUCCUUGAAGAGUUAAUCAAGUUAAACAAUCCAUGCUUUGAAUAAUUUGUCAAUGAAACAUGCAAUAACAAGUACUUGAUGAUUAACUAUAUAACAAUCAUGGACUAAAAGUUGAGAAGAUAUACUUAAGUCAAUUAUAAAUACCCAAACAUGUUCUAACACGUCAAGCAUUACUUUUACCCUUUUUUUUCUAUCCAUCUAAAUUAUGAAAGAAAAUUUAAUAUGCCAAGAGUUCAAAAAUUAACGGAUAUAUAAGUACAACUGUAAAACUAGCAUUAUAUAUGUGUAUAUUGGGUUUGCAGCUUUGAGUGGCAGCCUUGCCAAUAAUUGUUAUGUUGUUACCUAAUUUUUUAAGUGCAACGGGAAUACCUACUUCUACAGGGCCUCUCGACAAUUAAGGACCCUUGGAGACCUUAAACUAGGGCUGCAAAUAUGUUAUGACCCUGACCCGACUCAGUUUCAUGUUUGGUUCCUGAGUUUGAAUCCAAAACCGACAUGUUACCUAUUUGAGCUAUGUCAGAUCGGAUCCAUGGAAAAGAUUUUAGAUCUAGCAAGUUAUUUGGGUCAAGUCAAGAUCAAGCAUAAUCUGGAUGCAACUGAAGUGUCAGAUCUGUUAGGGUCAAGUAUGCUAUUGAGGUCAAGUAUUUAAUUAUUCUUUUAUAGAUAAAAACUAUUUGAUAAUUAAAUGUAUAAUAAAUAAAACUAAAAGGUAAGUUCAACAUGAAUUUUUAUUUAAAAAAUAUUUUAAUUUGAUCCAAGAAAAAUGAUGAUUUUUAAGAUACAAAUUACAUUUUUUAGAAUAUGAAUUGAUUAACUUGAAUACAUUAUAAAUUAAGAAUCCACUAAAACAUGCAAUGAAUGUCUAGAUAGAAUUACAUAAAAGUAGGUGCAAGGAGAUGGGAUUGUCAAGAUGAACCGAUAGCAAUUAGUUUAACUAGUGGUUUAUUCAAUGAAUAGGAAAAGAUAUUUGGUUGCAAGUCAGCCUAUCUUUGAUCCUGCAAGGAUUCCUUGAUUGUACCCAGCAAGCAUCCCAAAAGAUAGAGCAACGGAAAUGAAUGGAUUAGAAAUCCAAUAUAACUCCAUCCAAGGUAUUUAAAUCUCAAUAUAUCAGCAGUUGAAACUGAGAUGAACCAAGAUCUAACUAAUUGGUAGAGGGAAUUAAGAUUUUUUGAGACAUCGGCCGAAAUGGUAAAUCCAAUAUAUCAACCGUUAUCACUCGAUAUCAAUUUAUAUCAGCCAAUAUAACAUGGCCAAGAUUUUUAUAUGCAUCAUAUAACUGAAAUACCUAACAAGUGAAACUACAAUAACAAGUCAUCACCUAGCGCGCCCUUUUCCUAAAAUCAGUAUCUCUGCAAUUUUAUCUCUCUUAUUUUCCCUCUCCAUAUUUCUAUCUUCUUUUUUCGCCAUGCCACACAUGGGAUAGCAAGUCGCAUAAGCCCAUCUAAUCAUGGCUGUCAUGCCAAUCAUGGAUAGCUGUGGUUGGAGAGCCAGCCAUCCCCAGUUCACUCACGACAGGAGAAGCUUUGAACACCCUUUUUCAGCUAAACUCAUGUUUCCAUUUUCGAUCAUAUAAGUUAGAAUGACUCGCAUGUUCACACCAUGAAGCAUGGCACAAGUUACCAAUUGGAUCGGUGAAAAAGAAUCAUAUCCACGCUAUAAGUGACCUAAGCUAAUCAUUAUAUGAAGUCAUAGAAAAAAUCAUAUAUCAAAAUAUAAACAUUUGAUCUCCCAUCUCGUUUGUAAGACCCAAAAAUUAAAAAAUUAAAGAAAAAAAGGAGCAAUUUUUCACAAACGUUCUGUUUAUUCACCGAUUCGCAUGAGUGGAAAUUUUAACAAAGUUCACAUAUUCUUCCUACAUAUCCACUUCAAGAAAAGCAACAUCUAAUCCAUCAAAAAAAAAAUCAAGGAAAACUAAAAUUAACCAAAUCUAGCCUCUAAGUCAGAAAUGCAUGCAUCAUCAUCAUCAUAUGCAAAUUGAAAUGAAGAGAUUAAAAACAGGCACGAGAUCCUCACGUGUGGGCGCCGAGGAACAGCGAAGGCUCUCCUGCAGGAGGGAUGGAGAGGUGGGCAAUAUCGGCAUCGCAGAGGAUGGAGAGCUCCCUCACCUUCUUCUUAAUACCAUUCCUUCGAGUCAAGUAGCACUGCAUCCGAGCUUGCUCGGUGGGGUGGGGCUCUAACACGACCUUCCUCCGUGGCAUCUCUCCCUUUCUCUCUCUGUCUCUCUCCUCUCUUCUGCUAGCCUUUCGCCAUAAUUCCACCUGGUUCGGGACACCGAGGCAAGCGUUGUUGUCUCCCAUUUAUUGAUGGAGGCGGCCUCGGAGGCAUUAAAUAUACUCACCCGAGGGGGGCGGACAAGUGACGGCCAGGGUGGGUUUCGGACGAGGGGAUGGGAUGGCAGCCGGAGCCAUAAAUGAAUGCAGUGGCCUCAGAGCGGGGAGGUAGGGAGUGUGAAUUAAAGAAGCCGGCAUUUUCGCGGUCAUCAAACGCCGUGAGGUGGACCGCUUUUCAGAAACUGUGGGCGUGUGGAAUGCCACCGGCGGUAGGUUAUAAUAACCACAUCCGUAACAUUUACUCCCUUGAUUCACUAUCAUCUGAUACUCAAUCCCUGUUAAGUACUUCUCCCGUCCCAUAAUUUUCAGGUUAUUUAGUCCCUACCCUUGCACACGAUUGCAGAUAUCUGCUGGCACGUAGAUAUAUGUGCAAAGACGAUAAGAUUAUAUGUAGGGACAAUAAUGAUUAUGUACAACGGCUAGUAUAAGUGUACAAUAUAAAUGUGUGCCAGAGGCAAAAAUUAAAUGCUAAUGUCAAAAGAUCCAAUGUAAGAUGGGGACCCAUUUGAUUCACAAGAAGCAGGGGAUCUUUAUGUUUGAUUGAAAUUUAAAAAAAUAAAAAUAAAAAAAUUAAUUUUUUAUAAAUAAAUAUUAUUAAAAAUUAAUUAAUUUUUUCAUUAAUCAAUUUAUUUCUGUUCUCAUAUCUUCUAGGAUGGCUAAGUUACUUUUCUAUAUGCAGCAUUUACCAAUUAGGAUCCGUUCUUUUGCAAAUAAAAAAUUUAUCUGAGAAUUCAUAUUUUUCUGAAUAAAUAUUUUUUAGAUAAUAUUUAGAUAGAAAAAUAAUUUAUCUAUAUUCUUUUAUACAUAGGAAAGUGACUUCAAAAUUGACUAUCCAUGUUCUUUUACGUUACUACUUUUCUAGAUAAAUUAGUAAAAUUUAUCCAUAUUUCCCAUGAUAUCCCUUGUGCUUUUUAGAUUUGACUAAAUUAUUAAGCAUUGAAUGAUGGAGAUAUUGAAAAUGAGGAUGGUAUUUUAGGUACAGUAUUGAAUACCUACUUUACUGACUGAUAGAAAAAUAAUUUGCCGCUCCCUGUAUGGGUAAAUUUUUUUAUCAUUUUAUGGAUAAAUAUUGCUCAUGGUAAAGUAACUUACCCAUCUUGAAAAAUGUGAGAAUAUGGAUAAGUUGGUCAAUAGAAAAAUUGACCAACUUUCUCAUGAUAUUUACCCACAAAAGAACGUCCCCUUGCAGGUAAAAGAUUUGCCUGAGAAUCCAUACUUUUCUGGAUAAAUAUUUUUCAGAUAUUAUUUAGAUAGAAAAAUAAUUUACUUAUAUUCUUUUAUACAUAGAAAAGUGGCUUCAGAAUUUAUUAACCAUGUUCUUUUACAUUACUAAUUUGUUGGAUAAGUUGGUAAAAUUUAUCCAUAUUUUUCAUGAUAUCCCUUAUGCAUUUUAGAUUUGAUUAAGUUAUUAAGCAUUGAAUGAUGGAGACAUUGAAAAUGAGGAUGGAUAUUUUAGGUACAAUAUUAAAUGCCUACUUUACUGACCGAUGGAAAAAUGAUUUAGCCAUCUUCUGGAUGGAUAAAAUUUUUCUCUAUUUUAUAGAUAAAUAUUGUCUAUGGUAAAGUAACUUACCCAUCUUAAAAAGUAUAAGAAUAUGGAUAAAUUGGUCAAUAAAAAAAUUAACCAACUUUUUCAUGGUAUUUAGCCACAAAAGAACGAUCCAUUAAAUCAAGAAAAAUCUUAUCCAUAUAAGAGGUGGUUAAAUCAUUUUCCCAUCAAUCAGAAAAGUAAUCUUUUUAAUUCAUUAUUAAUAUACCCUUAAUCUAAUAAUAAUAUAUUAUAUUAUAUUAUAAAAUAUUAAUAUAUAAUAUAUAUAAUAUCCAUUAUAUAUUGAUAUUUUAUAAUAUAUUAUAAUUNNNNNNNNNNNNNNNNNNNNUAUAUAAUAUAUUAUAAUAAUAUAUAAUAUAAUAUAUUAAUAUUUAUAUUAUAAUAUUAUAAUAGAAUAAAAUAAUAUAAUAUAACAUAAUAGAUUAUUAUAUUUAAUAAUAUAUAAUAAUAUAAUGUAUUAUAACAUAUUAUAAUAAUAUAAUAUAUUCUAUAUUAAUAUUUUAUAAUAUAUUAUUAUAUAUAAUAAUGUUAUAAAAUAUAUAUUAGAUUAUAUUAAUAUAAGAUCUUAAUAUAAUAUAAUAUUAUGAUAUAUUAUAAUAAUAUAAUAAUAAAAUAAAAAAUAUAUUUAUAUUUUAUGUUAUAAUAUUAUAAUAUAACAAUAUAAUCUUAUAUGAUAAUAUAAUAUAAUAAUAUAAAAUAUUAUUAAAUAUAAUAAUACAUAAUAAUAUAUUAUAUUAUGCUAUAGUAUACUAUAAUAAUAUAAUAUAUUUUAUAUAUCAUAGUAUAUAUUAAUAUAUUGUAUUAUAUUAUACUAUAUUAACUAUACUAUAUUAUUGUAUAUAAUAAUAUUACAUAAUAUAUUAUAUUAUAUUAAUAUAAGAUAUUAAUAUAAUAUAGUAUAAUAUAUUAUAAUAUUAUAAUCUAUUAUAUUAUUUAUAUAAUAAAAGAUAUUAUGAAAAAUAUGGAUAGAUCAUAGCAACUUAUCCAGAAAAAUAGUAAUAUAAAAGAAUAUGGGUAACAGAUUUUCGAGCUAUUUUUCAAUGCACAAAAGAAUGAUGGAUAAAUUUAUUUACUAUCUAAAUAUUGACUAAAAAAUAUUUAUCCAAAAAAAUAUAGUUGUUGUGGUGUAGAAAAAAGAGCAUCAUUAGUCCUACAUUAGUUAGAGUCAAAAAAAACUUUGGCUUAUAUAGGAAGGGACUAUUUUUCCUAUAUGAGACGCCUUUUAAGAGGCAAAAUCAUGAGACUAAAACGGCCCAUACAGCCUUUGGGCUAUGGGUCGUAGGCCAAAGGAGACAAUACCUUGCGUAUCGAGCCAUAAACCUUUGACUGCAAUACUGAUGCUAGAAGAAGGGGCAUCACCCUCAAUGGACUGAGGGGCUCCUUUCGUCUAAACACUACUCUUUGAGAGUACACAAACAUGGUCUGUAGAGUAUACGGAUUUUUCUUUGAUUGGGAGGGCUAUACUGUAGUGCAGAAGAAAAGGCAUCAUUAAUCCUACAUUAGUUGGAGUCAAGAAAGAAUGUGGUGUAGAAGAAAGAGCAUCAUUAAUCCUACAUUGGUUGGAGUUAAGAAAGAAUCUAACUUAUAUAGGAAGAGACCAUCUUUCCCACGUGAGGUGUCUUUUAAGGGUCAAAAUCAUGAGGCCCAAAAAUGGCUCAUAUAGCCCUCGAGCUAUGGGCCGUAGACCAAAGUGGAUAAUACCUCACAUGCCAAGCCAUGAAUCCUUGAUUGCAACAUUGACGCUAGAAGGAGGAUAUCACCCUCAAUGGACUAUAGGGCUCCUUUCACCUAAACACUAUUUUAUGGGAGUAUACAAACACGGUCUGUGGAGUAUAUGAAUUUUCUCUUGACUGGAAAGGCCAUGUUAUAAUAUAGAAGAAGGGGCAUUAUUAAUCUUACAUUGGUUGGAGUCAAGGGAGGCGCUGGCUUAUAUAUCUACAACAAAGAAGAUUUUUACCGACAAUUAUUUUGACAUUUAGUGGUAAUUAUUAUCGCCACUAUGACUUUUACCAGCAAAUGCUUAUUUGCCGAUAUAACCAGGGUCGGAAAAGGUUAUACCAGCAAUUACAGAGAUUACCGAUAAAUGUAUAAGAAAUUGCCGCUGUAGAUUUGAGUUAUUACGGUAAUUAAUACCGACAAAUAUAAUUGCUAUGAUAUAGCAGCCUAUCUACGUCCAAUAUUAUGUCUUUCAUGGUAAUUAUAAUUGCCGCUAAAAAAUAAGUCUUUCGCAGCAAUUAUAAUUGCUAUAAUAUAGCAACAUAUCUAUGCCUGAGGAUAUAUCUUUCGUGACAAUUAUAAUUGCCGCUAAAAGGUUACAUCUUCUGUAGCAAUUACAAUUACCGCUAAAAGAUCAGAAGUAUGUCUUUCACAGUAAUUAUAAUUGCCAUUAAAAGGUAUGUGAAGUUAAACUUAACAAUUAUUAAUGACAAUUGAAAAUGCCACUAUAUCUCCUCUUCUAUUUUUUUAUCUGCAUUACAAUAUGAUAUAUUGAUAUAAGAAUGAAACCAGUUCAAAUAUCAAUAUUCAUCAUAAUAAUAUCAAAAUAAAUUUUAUAAUUAAUUUUCUAGUGCAACUCAUCCAACCAAUAAAAUCCAACAACAAAGUAUUAUAUAUUAUAAUAACCAAAAAAGAGUUUACAUUGCAUAUUUGUCAAAUACAUGUAACUCUCAAAUACAAACAUAGCAAAAUAUAUAUCCAUCACAAUCAUCAAUGAACUCUUAACAAUCUUGUCUGAGCCCCAAUAAACUCCUUGAGUAUCAACUGAGCUCUUGAUCCAAAGCAGUCCAUCAACUCACAACGUGCGUCCUAAAAAAAAAGACAAAAAGCACACAAAUUAGUUAAUAAAUAACCAAUAAUAAUUUUAGUUGCAUAAUAGCAACAUAAUCAAUAAACAACAAUCAUCUUCUUGAGGAUAUGUGAUGAUGUCAUUAAUGUUGAUCUUUGAGAGGUUUUUUAUGUGUGAUUUAUUUGGUUAUCAUGUUAUUUUUGGGGUUCGGAUUGCAUUUUUCAUGUGAAAGGAUAAUUAACCUUCUUCAGUGAUAUCAAUUAUUGAAUUUAUUUUGCACAGCUUUUGAAAUAUUUAUUUUAUGAUCUAUGUUGCAGAUUCUAGAAAAAUAUCGAAAUACCGCAGUCCAUAUAAAAUAUGAUUAAAUGGUUGAUAUCAUAAAAAAAAUGAAUCAUACGGAAGAUACAAUCAGAACCUGUUAUCCAAUGGUUAUCAGCACAUAAAAUAUUCACAAUGAUAAUUAUAAAUACUGCACUUAACCAUAAGAUAAUUAAGAUGAAUAAUUUUUUCAAAAAAUAGUUUCUGAACUUUUUUAUUAAGUCAAACUUAUAUUGAUACAAGAUUGUAAACUAAGGCUCAUAAUGGUUUGAGUAUGUACAGAUUCCACAACCACAACACCAUCGUUUUUCUAGCUUUACUCUCAGAUCAACACUCUUAUAAUAACUGAGAAAUUGAUAAAAGUAUCCAUUCUCUUUCUUUCAAGACAAUGAUGUUUGUUUCCUCUAUCUUUAACAUUAAAUUACCGGUCAUUAGCACAAAAGAGAGCACAUCUGAUCUAGUGUCAAAAAGGGUUAACCUUGUGAGCCUAUAUCAAGGGCCAGAAACUUGCACGCAUCCACGAGAAUAGCAAUUUCUUCUGAUCAGAACUUCAGAAAGUGGGUUUCGAGGUUUUUGAAGACAGUGACUCACCAGUUAUGCCUAUAAUGCUUUACAACACAGCAAAAAUUCCAGCCUUAUCCAGGGAGUGUCUCAGAUAGAAUGUAAGUAUGACAUCUUAUUUAACUUUGAAUGUCAGACUGCAUGUUGGUAGUGUUAAGAUUUGAUAUUUCGAAAUUCGAUCCAUACUGAGCUUACAGUGAAAUCCGCGAUGACGAACGAAAAGAGUCCAACGAAUUCAAGAUAGUUCAAAUGGAGAUCGGACGAAAGAGAUACACUCGAUAGAAGAUGGCACAACUUACGAAGCGAUAGAGGCCGGUGGAGCAAGUGCGUAUGGGACUGCUGCGAGCGCGUAGCCCAGCACGCAGAUGCACAGGCACAUGCGGGCGCAGCCCAGGCAGGCAGGUACAGGUGCGGCCCGCACAAUUUUUCUAUGCCACAUGCAGUGCGUGGAUCGACGGUCCAUAGGGAUCCACAUGGAUCGGAUGGAGACUUUCCUUUGGUUCGCGCGGUCCACCGUGGAUCGAAAAACGUUUCAGACUAGUUUCUCACGGUCUAAAGGGCUUGUCAUGGACCAAAUGUGCGAUCGGAUGGCCUAGUGAGCUUGCGGUCAAGAUUCAUUGUUUCAGAGGCAUGUUUGGGUGAUCUGAGGAGUUCUAAUUUGCAUUGAAGUCGGGAUUGGAUCGAUCUGAGAUCUUUAAAAAACUCUGUUGAUAGAACAGAGAUGGUGUCGCUUUUGGUUGUUCGACAGAGGAUCCAGGCAGCAGCAGAUCAAGAGGCGCCGAUAGAGAGCAGAAGUAAGGUGCUUCAAACAGACUGUUAGGCAGCGGAAGUUGUCGCUUCAAGGGUUUAGAGGAGGUUUCCUAAAAAAAGAAGUUUUGUGAGAAAGAGCUUCUUGUGAGGGAGAGAUUGGGUGUACGAGAGUUAAGGGUGUGAUCUCCUCUUAUAAUUUUUUCUUUUUCUCAUAAUGAAGCUUUCAUGCCCUAUGGAGGCAAGCAUUUUUUUUACUGAUCCACGUAUUUGACUAUUCUAUUUUUUUUUCUUUCUGCUGCGACACAUGGUAUCGAAAAGGUCUUGUGAAGGUGGUGUCCUGAUCAGACAUUUCCAACAAGUGGUAUCAGAGCGAGAUGGUAUCAGAAUACAGAUUACGACAGUGGUGAGCAAGAUUGAAGAUGGAGAAGACAUGAUCAAUCAAGAUGGAGAUCAACAGAUUUGAUGAAAAGAAUAAUUUCUUCUCGUGGCAGGCAAGGAUAAAGGACAUGCUCAUCCAGCAAGGGUUGAUCGGUGCUCUCUUGUGCGAAAAGAAAGCGACUACCAUGAAGAUACAAGAUUGGAGGUGGCUCUAGAUGCACGUGGUGAAUGCAAUCUGCUUGUCCCUAGCGGAUGAAAUGGUGAUCUAUGUGCUUUGCAAGACUUUUCCAACGAUGCUGUGGUCGAAACUCGAGGAGUUGUAUAUGGUGAAAUCUUUCACCAACACCCUCUUUCUUUGGAGACAGUUCUAUCAACUGCAGAUGACUGAGAGACAGAGUAUGCAAGACUAUCUCAGUCACUUUCAGAAGAUCCUCAUCGACCUCCUCAGUAUUGACGAGAAAGUUGAGGAGAAGAUCAGAGUACUGGUCUUGCUAGUAUCGCUUCUCCCUUCGUAUGAGUCCUUAGUGACUACUCUUCUAGUGGAAAAGAACACCAUCAAGAUGGCAAGAUCACUACGGCGAUUCUUCAGAACGAGAUUCUCAGGAGAGAGAAUCUAGCUUCGAGCUCCGAUGGCAACUCAGCUUUGAUGAUUUUUAGAGGAGUAGGAGGUGGUAGACGGAGCGACAGAAAAUCACGACGAGGAUGGUCCAAAUUCAGGAUGAGGAACUUAAGCAAGAUCAGAUGCAGUACGACGAGUUGGAGCAUCUAGCCAGAAAUUACUCUCAACUUAAGGAUCAAACGAGGGCUACUGCAGUGAUGGCCGAUAGCGAGUCAAAGGGUGAUGCCCUUAGGGAUGGCAAUCGGAUCGGGUCGGAUCAGAUACGGAUCGGAUCAGAAAAUAUCAAAUCUGAAUCCGAUCUAUUUAUUAAAUAGGUCAGAUUUUCAAACCUGAAUCUGACACAUUUAAUAAACAGGUCAUUCGAUCCGACCCAUUUAACCUGUUUAUCCGAUCCGACCCGAUCCGUUUAACCCGUUUAUCAUUUAACUUGUUUAAUAAAUAGCUAACCUGUUUAUCUGACCUGACUCAACCCGUUUAAUCUGUUUAGAUACAGAAAUAAUCAAAAUUAACAUAAAUACAGAGUGAGACAGAAAAUUAUAUGCGCACGUAGACAGACGAAGACCACAAAAUCCAAAUAAUUAACAGAAAUAGGGAAGCUAAUUAAUCUUCCAUACUUGGACCAUUACAUACAUCAGUUAACUGGUAUUUACAAACAUUAAAUGAACAAAAAUUUGGGCAAAUUGAUUUCUGCAAAACUAUUUGUCCUGAGACUUACAUCAAUAAGAAUGAGAAUAAUUACAAUAAGAAUAAUAUCUUAAUCAAAGAAUGCCUAUAUCUAUCGUCCAUUUUUGAGAGGGGAAAAUUGAUAACAAUGAGCAAUCAACUUACUGCCAAUGAAAAUUAAUUUACCAAUGUCAAGCAAGAUACUAUUCAUUAAAUAAAUCAAUAGGUAAAUGAGAUAAUACAUAAAUGGCACAUGCAAGAUACUAUUCAUUAAAUAAAUCGUAGGUAAAUAAUGAUCAUCAAAGAGCCAAAAACUCAUAAAUCAGAGCAAAAACAGUUAGACAAAAAUUUCUGAUUUAAAUCAAUGGAGCAAAGACCAGAUCAUACAAACCUCCCAGGAAUCCUAACGUAAAUCCAAGAAAAAAAUCUAAUCAGGUAAACAAUGAUCAUCAGAGAGCCAAAAAUUUAUAAAUUAGAGCAAAAACAGUUAGACAAAAAUCCCUGAUUUAAACCAGCCGAGCAAAGACCAGAUCACACAAACCUCCCAGGAACCCUAACAUAAAUCCAAGAAAAAAAAUAAUAAAUCGAUUGCAUAAAUGAGACAAUACAUAAAUGACUAUGAAAUUCCAGAAUAAUAGAUCAGAUCACUAUGAAAUCUCAGAAAUCCUAAUGUAAAUUCAAUAAAAAAAUCUUCGGAUCUGGAUCGAACACCAAUUACAGAGAUCGGAGGGGAAGACCAACCCCAGAGAUCAGAGCAAAAAUCCUCAUGAUUCCUUCAAGUUUGCCGUCAUCGUGAUGUCGGGUGUCACGAUGGCUAAAGAGUAAAGAUGGAGGCCAGGUCCCGGCUGGCACUCCCAUGAUGAGGGGAGAUCGAGGAGGAGCACCAUCUAAGAGAGGAGGUUGAGGAAGAGGAAGGGAAUACCUGAACUUUCUCUGAGUUCCCUUCAGCACGAUCGCAAACGGAGAGGAGCCGAUAGUAGACGGCCACCUAUUACCGACGGUGGGGAAGACGGUGGGGGAUCAUCGAUCGAGAGGAGGGAUGGAAUGGAAACCCUAGAGGGGAUGGAAUGGAAACCCUAGAGGGAAGGGGAAUAGAUGUGAGCGGCAGGCCUGGGAUUGGAAGCGACGUUUCGUUCGAUCAAAUGAAAGAAUAUAACCUGAUAACACUUAAGAGUUAAGCCGGUUAAGGAGUCAAGACCUUAAGGUUAUAAAUAAUGAGUUAUAACCCGACCCGACUCGAUCUGAUUCAACCCAUUUAUUAAAUGGGUUAAACGGAUCAGUAACCUAAAAUCUGAACCCGAUCCGAUUAUUAAAUGAGUUAAACAGGUCGAUCCAUUUACGAUCCAAACCCGUUUAAUCCAAAUCCAAACCUGUUUAACAUGGGUCGAAUGCGGGUCGAGUUGGUGGGUCAGAUCGAUUUUUGCCACCCCUAGAUGCCCUGAAGAUAUCUGACGAGAUAUCUAUUUUUUUCAAUAAUGAAUUUUAAAUUUUACAUGCAUCUAUCAUGUAUGUUGUAGAGAGGAACAGUUUGACUCUUUGAAGAGCAAUGAGAGUACUAUUUAUCUGUCGGAUGAAUCGAGCUAUGCGAUCAGAGAUAUCGAAAUAGUCAGCUGGAGGACACAUGAUGAUGCAGUGAGGAGAUUGAGAGAGGUUCGAUACAUAUCCAAUUUCAGAUAGAAUCUUAUCUCAUUGAGCAAGUUGGAUGCUAGAGGCUACAGGAUGGUAGCUGAUGGAGGAAUCCUGAAGGUGUUGUACGGCAAUAGGAUUAUUCUGAAGAAAAAAAAGAAGACGAGAAGAUAUUAUUACCUGAUGGAGAGCUCAGUGUAAGGUAGAGCUUCAAGAGUCAGGAGGAGUUUGGAGAAAGAUGGAGCUCCAAAUGGAGGUGGAUCAGGGAUGAGAAAAGCAAGACUCGAGAAGAUGAGAGGCGAUAUCAUAAGGUGAGAUUUCUAUUACCACAAGAUAUCCCGAGCAGAUCUCAGAUCAGGAGGAUGACAACAUAUGAUAGAGAUAAAAUCGAGUGGCCUAACUCGACUCCCAUGUCUGUCCAUCCAUGAUCAGUAGACGAUUGUCCCAGGAUAUGGAGGCUAGGAGAUCCAGAAGCUCUCAAAAUUAGGAAAAGACAGAAUAUCGAGUGAGGUAAAGAUUGUUAGAAUUUGAUGUCUCAAGAUUCGAUCCACACUGAGCUCAUAACGAAAUCUACAAUGACGAACGGAGUCCAACGAGUCCAAGAUCAGUCCAAACGAAGAUCGGAUGAAGGAGAUACGCUCGAUAGAAGAUGGCAUGGCUUAUGGAGCGACGGAGGCCAACGGUGGUCGGUGGCAAGUUGGCAGAGCAGGCGUGUGCGGUGGCACGCAGGACGGCCAUGAGCGUGCAGCCCAAUCGCGGACGAGCAGGUGCACGCGGUGCGUGGCCCAAGCCCGAGCGGGCAUGCAUGGGGGCGCAGCCAGGGCGGGCAUGCGCGCAGGUGCGGCUCGUGUGAUUUCCCAUGCGGUCCAUGUGCGAUGCAUGGACCGACAAUCCAUGGGGACCCACGUGGACUGGACAGGCAUUUUCCUUUGGUUUCGCACGGUCCAUCAUGGAUCGAAGAGCGUUUCAAGCUGAUUUCUCGCAGUCUAGAGGGGUUUUCAUGGAUCAGAUGCACGAUCGAAUGGCUCAGUGAGCUUGCAGUCAAGAUCCAAUGCUUCAGAGGCAUAUUUGGGUGAUCUUAGGAGUCCUAAUUUGCAUUAGAGUCAGGAUUGGACCGAUCUGAGGUCUUUAAAAGAUCCUAGUGAUAGAACAGAGAUGGUGUGGCUUUUGGUUGUUCGAUAGAGGACUCAGAGCAACAGCAGAUCGAGAGGCGUCGACAGAGAGCAGAAGCAGAAUGCAUCAGGCAGAUUAUUAGGCAGCGGACAGCGGUCGCUUCAGGAGUUAAAGAGGGUCUUCUUAAAGAGAGAGCUUUUGUGAGAAAGGGCUUCUUAUAAGGAAGAGAUUGGGUGUACGAGGGUUGAGGGUAUGAUCUCUUUUUAUAUUUUUUUUUCUUAUAAUGAAGCUUCCAUGCCCCGAGGAGGCGGACUUUUUUUUGGCUGAUACACAUAUUUGAUUGUUUCUAUUUUAUUUCUUCUUUCUUCAUACUACAAUGCGUGAUAUCAAAAAGGAUGUGUGGAGGUGGUAUCCUGACCAGACAUCUCCAAUAAGUAGACAAAUGUAUCCUUAUGAAGAUAACUCCAUAUUUAAAUUUUUUUUAUGUAACUCAUUUAAAAUCUGACAUCUUGAAUCAUUAAACAAGACAAAAUUAUUGAUUGGACAGAACUUGAUGAAAUGGCUAUGGAUACUUGGGUUAUGCACUUUUCCUCAAUUUCAUGCUCGACGAGAAGAUGAACAUAUAUAGAAGGAAAAAGGGAGAAAAAAUAAAUGAGACAUGAUGGGUACCAUCUUUUGAGUGCAAAAAAGUCCACAUGAAAAAAGAAGAUAAAUAAUCAUGGAUUUUCAGAAUGGAUUGCAAGCAGUUAUAUGCUAAUCGCAUUAGAGUUUAAUAAAAUGUACUAAGAGCAUUAAAUACUUUUCAUUAUUGAUCCCCUAAUAGAAGAAAAGAAAUUGAGCUAUUGAAGAGAAAAAGCUACAUGCCACUUGAGACCUUGCUGUAUAACACUCAUUAAAUUAAGUCAAACAGAGAGCCAAGCUUACUAUAACCAUUUUGUCCACAUGGAACAGGGACCUUUUACAAUUUAUCGCCUAGCCAAGCAUGGUGAAAUUUUAAUAUGUUAGAGUAGAUAGAGAAUAAUUCCAACAUCACAUGACCCACUAAUUUUGUAAAUAAGAAAAGUAUAAAUUCAUAAAACAAAUUAUCUGAACUAGAUAUGAUCUUCAAUUUACUACCAUUAGCAAAAAAAUAUGAUGAAAAUAAUAAGAUCAUAUGAUCGAGAAUCAUUUUUAUCGCAAGUUAACAUAAUAUUAUUAUCUUGACGAAUAAAAAAAGGCAUGUGAAACAUUGGAGGGUUUUGGAAAUAUUGUGCAUUCACUACUUCAUGAGUACUACAGGCAUCAGGAACCUAUUUAAAAAUAAUAUAAGAACAAUAUUAUUACCUACAAGUGCUUUGCCUAGUUGAAGAAGAAUAAAUUCAGAUUCUUUAAGAAAAAUUCCCUGUUCAUUAGUUGUUCUAUUUGAUCCGAAAGGCAUGGUAACUUCAGGAGCUAAAUGCCUACCCCAAAAUGAUUUCAUUAUAGCAAGUUCAGCUUCUAACCAUGCUUGGUUUUCCUUCAUCAUUCUUAUUUAACUGGUGUGGCGUUGUUCCAUAGUCUUCAUGUCCUCCUCCAAUAAUUUUACCUUCUAAGAGGCUCCAUUGUCUUCUAAAAUUGCUCCCAGGUGAUGAGAUGCCGGACCCCAUAAGCUACUUGGGGUUGGACCAAGUCCUAAACCCCGCACUAAGCGACUCUUCUUUGGUCCCCAUCACUUGUGAAUAUAUAUCAUCUUCAAAAGCUAUAGUAUCUUGGGAUUGUUCCAUAGAAUUAGAAGGUUGACUUAACUUUUCCUUCAUCAAAUCCUAACAACUUAUAAGAAAAGAGAAUUGCAUCAUUAUCAUGAUUAUAUAAAAUUAUAAAAUAAAAUAAAAUCUCAAAUUAAAACUCAUAUUAGAUAGAUAAAGUCAAAAAACUUACAACUAUUUGAGCCGACUCAUCAUCAAUGGGUCACCCAUCCUUGCGUUGCUUAUGAGUUUCAUUGAAAAUAUGUGCUCUUGAUGGUUCAACUCCAUCCUUAGACUAAUAUAGAAUUAAAUCAUGAUUUUGAAACUAAAACCUCUGAAUGCAAUAUUAGAGUGAGCUUUAUAUAUUUCAAAAUAUCAAACCAAUUGCAUGAUAAUUUAAAAAACUAUCUUCAAAUUUAAUAGUAAUAGUGGCCAUAAUAUAUAUAAGCACAAUAUAUAUAUAUAUAUAUAUAUAUAUAUAUAUAUAUAUAUAUAUAUAUAUAUAUAUAUAUAUAUAUAUAUAUAUAUAUAUAUAUAUAUACUAUUACUUACUUACUACUUACUACUNNNNNNNNNNNNNNNNNNNNAAUAUAAUAUAAUAUAUAUAUAUAUAUAUAUAUAAUAUAUAUAUAUAUAUAUAUAUAUAUAUAUAUAUAUAUAUAUAUAUAUAUUAUGAUACCUUUUCUACCAUCAACCGUGCAAUGCUUUUAGAUCCCCCAGUAUGUGCCAUUUUUAGCAUUAAUCGAUUUUCCUAUUUGUCUUACUUCGUUUCUGAUAUUGUACAAAAAUAUUAGAAGAAAGACCUCAAUAUAAAAUUAUUGGAGAAGAAAUAUAGAAGUAAAAAAAAUUGCUUGGGUAUGUAUACUAUUUUCAGUUUAAGAUAUCACCUUUGUUUUGUCUGUAAACCAAUAAUUGAUGAGGACAGUCCAUUGAUCCCUUAGUAUGCGAUCAGGUUUGUUACUUAAAACAUCAUCUUUAUUUCCACAGCCUUCAAAAUAUUCAGCUUUCAACUCACACUAUAAUCUUUUCAUUUUUUCUCCAAAGAUCUUAAUACACAUUUCUCAUCAUGCCGAGGGAAUGAAGAUUUUAUCUACAAUAUAUAUAUAGUAAUAAUUUAAAAAAUUACUAAUAAUUAAGUGAAACUAGAAUUGAUAAUGGAUGUCUAUUACCUUAAUAAACUCUAAUAACUAUCUUUUAUCCUUCUUAGGAAAUAUUCUGCAAUCUGAGAUACGAAUAGGAGCUAAAUCAGAAUUCCUUCCCAUAAUGCCCAAAAAGCUAGCAAGAACUCAUCCUUCUAUUCCAAUGGGCUGAUCACGUUUGUUAAAUUGUACAAUAAUUCUUUCUUCUUCUGACUGAUUCCAAAUAUCAACUAGUAGAGUAGGUCCUCGUACACUCCUUCGCUCUAAAAAAUUAUAAAAUAUAACAAAACAAAGAAACAAUUGUAUUAUGAUGAAAAAAAUGCAAAUUGAAUAGUAUAUAAUUUGAACAUGUAACAAUAAUAAUAAUUUUACCACAUGUAUCAGUUGGCUCUCCUUCUAAAUACCUUGAUUGAUUCCCAUGAUUGGGAUCUUCAUAGAUUGAAGGUCACUAUUAGAUUGUGGAAGAUUUUGUUGGUCCCGAGAUGAAUGCUAAACUAUGACCUUCCUCAAUCUUCUUUUUGUCAUGAUCAUCUAUAUGCAAUCUAAAAUAGAUAUGAUCUUAAACAAUAGGCUAUAUAAUAUAAAGUGAAUUAUUUUAUGCAUCAAAAAGUAAGUCAAAUAAUUCAACAGGAAGCGAAUUUAAAUAUGAAGCAAAAUGUCAUAAUCAUUACAAAUAUAUAUUCAUUUGAAAUUAGCAAAACAAUAACAAUUUACAUCGAAUCACAAAAUAAUCCAUCAUUACAACAAGAUGGUCUACUCAUCUCGUAUCAAUAACUGUUCCCUCAACAUCAUUUCUCACCCAACUUAUAUCAUCAUUUUCUGUCACAACAGCAUCUAUUAAACUAAUAAAAGUUUGAAAAUCAUUCUCCAUGCCUAUUCCAAUGUCAUUAUCAUCAUACUCCUCUUGUGCAUCAAAACAGCCUCUUGGUUUUAUUGGUAUAGGAAUAAACCACUCUCGAUCUUCAUAGUCUUGGAUAAAUAUCACUUGUUGAGCUUGAGAGGUAAAUACAAAUGGUUCAUCAUUCAAAUAAUCACCAGUAUGAAUCAAGUGAGAAAAAUUAACGAGUGUGAACCCCAGUGCAUCUUGCUUUAGUCCUCUACCUCGAGUCACAUCAACCCAAUCACAUUUAAAUAGAACAACUUUAAAUCUAUCGUAGUAAUUCAGCUCCAUAAUAUAUGUUAACAAACCAUAAUAGAUGAUAUCUCCCAUUACAGGCCUUGCAUCACUGGUACUUGCAUAACUCAGUGUCUUUACAGUAAUCAUGACUCCACUGUUCUGAGUAUUUAUAUCCCUCUCAUAUUCUUUUGUUCAAAACUUGCAGCCAUUAUUCAUAUCAAAAGCAUGAAAUCUUCUUGCAAUAUAAUUUGGACCUCGAGCAAGUGAUCAUACAUCAUCUGUAAUUUAUCCAUCACUUGCACUAUCAAAAGCUUUAACCUAGUUCAUUAAGAAAAAAAUAGGGAUCAAUUAAUCUUAUUCUAUAUGCAAAAUAUUGUUAACGAGAUACUCAUAACUUAUAAGAAGAUAAUUGAUUUUUUAUUAUUUUUUAUAAUCAAAAGUAGUAAUAAAAUACUUACAUACUCCUUAAAUCAUAUAUGAAAGUUUUCAUUAUGUAGGCGAUCUAUCUCAUGUUGUGUCAAGCGACGUCACUGAUUUUGCCUCUUGAUUACACUAAUGUGUUCUCUGUAUAGAUAAAAAUAUAGAUAAUUUUCAAUCUAAUACACUUUUUUUUAUAUAAUAAAGAUAAAAACUACCAUUUACUUUCUAAGAGAUUCAACUAUACUACAGUCACAAUUAAAAGAGUAUAUAUCGAUGUGCUUGUAUCCACAUUUUUUUUAUCCAAUGAAAAUUCUUUGAUACUACCAUACGGUUGGCCCACAUUAGGAAAAAGACAUGAAUAUUGAACUCUUUCAGGAUCAAUAUUAGCAUGAUUUCUAAUCGACCGAUCAGAUCUUGCUUCAGCAUCUUGUAAGUAGUAAGAAUAGAAUGUUAGGCACUCGUCUACUAGAUAUGCCUCUACUAUCGAACCUUCAGGACGUACUCGAUUACGCACGUAGGAUUUUUGGGUAGAUAAAUACCUAAGUGGAGAAAAAUUAUAUAAGUCUAUUAUAUUCUUGAUACAUGGAUUUCACAAUAUAAAAAGAUAAAGUAGCUUAAAAUUAAUUAUUUACCUCUCAAUUGGAUACAUCUAUCGAUAAUGAACUGGUCCAACCAAUUUAGCCUCAGAUGCCAAGUGAAUAACCAAAUGGACCAUCACUGUGAAGAAUAAUGGAGGAAAAAUCUUCUCCAUAUUGCAAAGCAUUAAUGCAAUAUUCGAUUCGAGUAACUGAAGUUCAUCCACUUUUAAAGUUUUGGAACAUAUUCCUCCAAACAGACUACAAAGUUCAAUUAAAACAGAUGUUACUUUCUCGGGCAAAGUUCCUCGUAAUGCAAUAGCAAGAAGUUAUUGCAUUAAAACAUGACAAUCAUGGUUGUUAAGUCCAGAUAAUUUACAAUGUUUGAUAAUACAUCGUGAGAUAUUUGAUGCAAAUCUAUCUAAAAAUUUUACAUUCUCCAAGACCUCAUAGAAAAGUUUUUUCUCAUGUGGAGACAUAGUGAAAUAAGUAGUCGGCAAAUAUGUUCUUCCAGAUGCUCGUCUUUGAGGCCAUUGCUCUUGUCUAAUAUUCAUCUCUUAUAGAUUAUAAUGUGCAUUCAAGUUGUCCUUUAACUUUUUUUCAAUAUUCAAUAAAAUAUUGAUCAAGUUAUCACAUAUAUUUUUUUUCUAUAUGCAUCACAUCAAAAUUAUGAUGUACUAGAUUAUACUCUCAAUAAGGAAGUCCGAAGAAAAUACUUUUCUUUUUUCAUGUUUUCCUUAUAACCCCACUGACUUCUUCACUCUGCUUGCCCAGAGUAAACUUAAUAUCCUUCAAUCCAGAUGGUGUGAGUGGUGCAGCUCUUAAUUCUUCAUCCCCAUCAAAUAAUUUUCUAUCAUAUCAAAAUUUAUGUGACAUAUCCAAGAAACAACGAUGACCCAUGUAGCAAAUUUUUUUGCCAUAUAUAAAACGCUUAGAACAUGUAUCUACAUUGCAACAAGGACAUACAUUAUGACCAUAGGUGCACCAACCAGAUAAGUGGCCAUAAGCUGAAAAAUCAUUUAUAGUCCACAUAACUGCUGCAUAUAGUUGAAACGUCACUUGAAGCAUCAUAAGUAUUUACAUCUACUUCCCAUAACUCAUUCAAUUCCUCUAUAAGAUGUUCCAUAUACACAUCAAUAUCAUUUUCCGACCCUUUUUCUCCAUGAAUAAGCAAUGAAAGCAUAAAAUUAGAUUGUUUCAUGCAUAACCAUGGCAGCAAAUUAUAUGGCAUUAAAAUGACUGGCCAUAUACUAUAAUUAUUUUGCAUUAUACCAAAUGAGUUAAAGCCAUCACUUGCAAGCCCCAAUCUAACAUUACGAGGAUUUGCGAUAAAAUUUGGAUAUCGAGAAUUAAAACUUUUUCAUGCUUUAGAGUCUGCUGGAUGUCUCAAACUUUCAUCCUCAGUACGGCUUUUCACAUGCCAUAUCAUUAGAUCUGAUGUUUUAGAAGACAUAAAUAACCUCUGCAAUCUUAGUUUUAAGGGAAAAUACCUCAAAACCUUUGUCAAAAUUUUUUUCUGUAGUUUCUUUAAACUAGAUGCAUCGUUUAAUAAAUCAAUACUAUUUUUCCAUCGAGAAGCACCACACACUGAGCACAUAUCAUCAUUAAUCUUCUUUUUCCAAAAUAGCAUACAAUCAUUAGGACAAGCAUAGAUUUUUUCAUAAUUAAGUUUCAAUCCUUUAAUAAUCUUCUUUGUUUCAUUAAAGGAAUUUGGUAAACUUUCAUCAUCAUGGAUUGACUUUUUUAAAAGUUUUAGUAAUGCAUCAAAUGAUUGGUUAUACCAUCCAAAAAUGCACUUUAUAUGAUAAAGAUAUAGUAUGAAGGAGAGUGUGGUGAAAUUCCUACAUCCCGGAUAUCAUUUUUUGUCGGCAUCUUUCAAUAACUUGUUAAAUUUCUGUAUUCCAUAUCAAAUUGCUCCAUAGUGUCUUGUGUGGUAAAUCCAUCUACAUUUUCCUCUAUUGGAUUCCCUGCAUCCAUGUUUGUAGCUUUGCUUCUUACUCUAAAUACAUCAUUUAUCAUUCCUACUAUAUCAUCACUUUCAUAUGCUUCUCUUUCUUUAUAACCACCUUGUGUAGGAAGCGACAUAGAUAUUGAUUGCCCAUGAUAAAUCCAAGCAUCAUAUCCCGGCAUAAUAACAUUAACUACAAGGUCAUCGUUUAUGUCUGUCUGACUUUUUCGAUGAUAGAGUACACAACUUUUAUAAGGACACUAUUUUUUCAUCUUUAGAAUUGUUUUGGAAGGCAAAAUCGAGAAAAUUAUCUACUCCAUCUAGAUAUUCUGUGGUCACCUUACAAUAAUCUGACCAUCUCUUGUGCUUAUGAUUGUCCAUGAAAGGUCACUGCUCAAACAAACAAGAAUCCUUAUUAUCAAGAGAGUAAGAUAUAGAGAGAUUAAUGCUUUGAUUCACAUUAGAAGAUUCUUUAUAAUCAUAUAGACAAGAAAAAUAAAAAUAAAAAAUAGGAUAAUUAUAAAACUCAUGUAUAACAUGAAUAUUUUAACUAGUAAUAUCAAAUAUAGCCAAAGCAAAUUCACUGCAAAAAAAAUAAGUCUUUGAGUAAUUACUCUUAGUCUUGCUAACUCAUGUGUCUUCUAAAUUCAUACCAUAGGAAUUUGGUGGUACCAAAAUAAAAUGCUGAAUUAAACUCAAAUAAAAGAGAAAAUAGUGAUAAAUUAAUUGCAAGCAAACUGAACUAAAUGGGUUGUGUUGAAUUAUAAAAUUGAUUCAGCAUUAUUCAUAACAAGAGCUUCUAAAUGUCCUAUUUCAGUCAAAGUCCAGUGAUUACUUUUCGGGAAGUAAAUACGGUAGCAGAUUACCCAUCCAAAAUAGCUUUGGAAGGCAAUUUUAAUUAUGACUAUGGUGACACCUUGCCUUUGGAACUGUGUGGUAUCCUAAUGGCUGACUGUAGGGGCGAUCAUUACUUUCGGAAGAUAAAAUUUUAAACAAUGGCCACUAUGAAUACUAACUGUAAUUCUUAUAUGCCUCUUAAUCAGGUCAAGCCAAAGCAUAAGAAACCAAAAUGUGAAGGUCCAGCCAUUGGCUGAUGGCAGCAGGCAAGAUUUUACUCACUAGUUCUUUAGUAUUUGGUACAUAACUUUUUUAUUCAGCCAGGAUGCCCAGGGGUUGUGCAACCAGGUGAUUUACAUUCUUAUAUUCAUGAUAUAGCCCACUCAACCAUGUACUUUAUCUUCCAUUGCAUCCUCAUUCGAGUGGCACAGCAUUGGUUUCAAUGGCACAAUAUUAAAUCAGGUCAAAUUACAGACAUGAAAUUUUAAGAUAGAGACCAUGCCAACAUAUGGACUAAACCAGAUUUUCCCACCAAUAUCCCCAAAGCAUAUGAAUUGACAAACAAAUUUCCUCACAAAUAUCACACAAGAUAUCAAGCUGAUUAUUCGCUGGUUCCAACACCAGGAAGAUGCAAGUUCAUGUCAAAGAUUCAGAGCACACAAAAUAAAAUUAGUUCCAAAAACCAUAUACCAAAUUCACAAAUAAAAUUAGUCCCAAAAACCAUGUAUUUACAUUCUCUCAACAACCAUGUUGCACUACCCAGGAGUCAUUGGCUCAUCAUAUACGCCAAUGAUCAAAGCCAAAUUUGUUUUCUUGACAGAAACACUACUAGAACCCUGAAAGAUUUUUUUUCUAAGGGAAAAGUCAAACGCCAAUUAAACAAUCCAAAGAAUGUCAAUACAAACUAUCUCUGUCCCCACGUGUUUAAGUGCAUGUGUGAAUGCAGACAAAGGAAAAAAUGGCCAGAAAGUUUUAUUAUAAAUGUAUAUAAAAUUCUUCCCUAGAGCUAGCGGCGCAAAACUUGACUACCAUAAACCCUUAUUUUUCAAGAACAUCCAGAUACAAAUAUUAUUUCAAGAUUCAAAGCGAUCUAUAAAAACGAACAUAAGAUCGAAAGAACCCAAUCACCGAGCUCCUGCCCUGGUUUUCUUGCAAGAAACGUUUCAAGCAGCGGUGAGCGUUGGAUAGAUUUGGAGAGAGGAGAGAACGAAGGGAUUAGGGGAAUACAGAGGGAUUAGAGGAAUAUGGAAGAAAAGGGGGUGAGGGUGUGGGGAAGAGAACGGAGGAUUAGGGGAAUACGAAAGAAAAGGGGGCGGCGGCGUGGGGGAGAGAACGGAGGGAACAGGGGAAUGCGAAAGAAAAGAGAGGGGGGUGGCGCGCGCGGUCAUUUGGCCCUCAUCAUUUCAUUAGUGUUGAUGACAAUUAGAGUGGAGUAGCCGCUAUAAAUAUAUAUUUUAUAAUUAUUUAUUAAUAAUUAUAAUUAAUAUAAAUAUUUAAUUUAUUAUGAUUAUUAAAAAAUUAUCGUUAUAAAAUUAUUAUUAAAAAAUAUUUUUAUUAUAGUACGUCAAAACGGACAGUACCUCACGUAUCAAAUCAUGAGCUCUCGAUUGCAAUAUUGGCACUAGAAGCAGGGCAUCACCCUCAAUGAACUGUAGAGCUCAUUCUGCCUAAACACCACCACUCUAUGUGAGUACACAGACACGAUCCGUGAAAUCCAUGGAUUUCUUUUGACUAGAAGGAUUAUGUUGUGGUGUAAAAGAAAGGGCAUUAUUAAUUUCACAUUGAUUGGAGUCAAGAGGGGCUCUAGCUUAUAUAAUAGGAGACCAUCCUUCCCACGUAAGGCAUCUUUUAACGGGUAAAACUGUGAGAUCCAAAAUGGCCCAUACAGCCUUCAAACUAUGGGGCAUAAGUCAAAGCAGACAAUACCUCACGUGCCGAGCUAUGAGCUCUUGACUGCAACAUUGACACUAAAAGGAAGGUAUCACCCUCAAUGGACUAUGGAACUUCUUUCAUCUAAACACCACUCUAUGGGAGUACACAAACAAGAUCUGUAGAGUAUAUAGAUUCUUCUUUGACUGGAGGGCUAUGUUAUAGUAUAGAAGAAAGGACAUCAUUAGUCCCACAUUGGUUGGAGUCAAGGAGAAAUCUAGCUUAUAUAGGAAGGGACCAUCCUUCUUAUUUGAGAUGCCUUUUAAGGGGCAAAACUGUGAGGCCUAAAACGGCUCAUACAGCCUUCGAAUUAUGGGCCAUAGGCCAAAGUAGACAAUACCUCACAUGCCGAGUCAUGAGCUUUUGACUGCAAUAUUGGCGUUAAGAGGGUAUCACCCUCAAUGGCUUGUGGGGCUCCUUUCGCCUAAAUACCACUCUGUGAGAGUACACACAUGAUCUGUAGAGUACACAGAUUCUCUCUUGACUGGAGAACUAUAUUGUGGUGUAGAAGAAAGGACAUCAUGACUUAUAUAGGAGGGGAUCAUCCUUCCCACGUGAGAUGUUUUUUAAGAGGUAAAAUCGUUAGACCCAAAAACAGCCCAUACAACCCCCAAGUUAUGGGCCGUAGGCCAAAUCGGAUAGUUCCUCACGUACCGAGCUAUGAGUCCUUGACUGCAACAAUAGUUUUCUAGAUAAAUUUUUUACCCACAAAAGAACGGGCCCUUUAUGAGGAGAUAUUUAUAUUUUUAUUAAUAUAAAUAUAAUAUCUAUAUUAAUAUAUUAAUAUUUAUAUUAUAUUAAUAUCUAUAUUAAUAAAUUUGUUAUAUUAAAAUAAUAUUAUUUUAAUCUUUAUAAUAAUCUAAUAUUUUUUAUUAAUAUUAAUAUAAUUAAAUAUUAUGAUCUAAUGUUAUAUUAUAUUAUAUUAAAAUUAUAUUUAUAUUAAUAUAAAUAUUAUAUUAACAUUUAUAUGGAAUUUGGGAGCAAAAGUUAUGGUCUUAUAUCUAUUUUAAAGGUAUCAUAGGUAUUUUAUAUAUUUUUUUAAUAAAAUAGAUGUUCGAUCAAAUAUAAAUUAGUUUAAAAUAAAUUAUUUUUUUAUAAUUAAUUAAAUAUAUCAAAUUUAUUAUUUUUUUUUUUAGACAUCAUAUUUUUAAAAAGUAACUUCCUGGAAGUAAUUUUUCAAAAAAAAAUAAUUCCGUAAACCAAACAAAUAUCAAAAAGAAUCGGAUGCUCAGCUUUUGCAAUGAAAAUUUCUCUCCAGACAAUAGUUUUAGUGAGAACAGGCUGCAAUUCGAUAUCUCGUCCCUGACCAUAUUAUAUUCACCUUUUAAUGCCUUACCCCUUGAUGUUUAGCUAUAUGCACGUCUACCUGGUUAGCCUAUUUCAUAUGAGGUUUUACAUAUAUGUUCCACGCAUAACCAUGCCUUCCUUUUAGACAGAGGAAUCAAGAUUCACAAAAAGGAGAAACAAAAAAAAGAAAGAAAAAAAAAGGAAUUAGGAAGUUAGUUUUUGCUUAUUGGGCCAUGGUCAUUAUGUCACAGUCAUGAUUGGGGGUGAUUUUUUAUAGUUCUUAGAGGAUUAUUUUAGGUAAUCAUUUGUUGAUUGGAGUAUGGUUUCUAUCGAUUUAUUUUAAUAUCCCAACUAGAGUAGGAGUGGCUUACGAGUAUAGAGAGGAACGAGAGGUCCUAUUAUAGCUAUGAGUUUUGUCCGAGCAAUACUAGAGCUCGCAUCGGGAGCUCAUAUGAGUUACCAGUGGCCUAUAGAUUUGGUCCGAGUCCUGGAGUUCCGAUUAUGGAAGCAAGUUGCCGAGUCCUAGAGUUCCAUGUAUGGAAGCAAGUUUUAGUUAUGGCGUCGAGAGAGCCCUGUAGUAUACCUUGUUGCCAUGGGGUGCCCCAUGUUGGGUCCCAUGAUGGUGUGAGUGGUCAACGCAACCACCUUUUCGCAUUCCGUCCAGCUUAUGUGCGGGUGCGUGAGUGAGUGACAGAGAGAGUAGUGCAUUAAUUUUUUUAUAAUGCUUUCAUGUAUCAGUAGGAUUUUAUUUCUCUCUCAAUUUAUUUUUUUCUGUAUAUUUUCUUCUUGCAAUCCUCCUGUAUAUUAUUGUUAGUCAUUUUUCUUGCUGAUCCUAGGCCGACUGAUCUUAUUAAGUGUUUGUAUUGUUCUAUAUGCUAUUAACUAGUCUAUAUAUUUUAUAUAUGAUAUUAGAGCUAGACGGGAUACUCUGGCGUAUAUAUUAGAGCUAGAUUCUUCUCAUAGGAGUUUUAAUUAAAUAUAAGUAGUUUGUUGCAUUAGUGACUAUUGCGAACAAGGGCUCGACCUGUCAUAUGAGGUAUUAUCCGUUCUGACUCAUGGACCUCAUGAUUUUAUUCUUUAAAAGGUAUCUCACGUGAAAAAGAUUUUUUUCUCCUUAUAAGCACGAGUUUCUCUUGACUCACAACUGAUGUAGGACUAUUGGUGCUCUCCAUAUUAUUAAAACCACAACAGAGCCUCUUAGUCAAGGGAGAUUUCGAUAUGUACAGUCUGAGAAGCCACACAGUCAGUCAAAGUGAACCUCAGCUCCAGAGAAUCGAGGUGGACCUCAACUCCUACCUGGUGCACCAAUCUGUUGUGAUCAAUCCCCGAGUACGUCUGACUCCAAUGAAGAGUAACCUGCAAAAGAAGUCCAUUGAUCGAAUUUUUAUCCCGUGGGAACCCUCCGAUGCCUAAGUCAGUGGGGAGUGAUGAACAAAAAUUUUUUAAGUAGAAUUCGGCAAAGUUUUAGCCCGAUAAAAAUCCUUUACCAUUGCUGUCACUUUACCUCCCUUUCAUAGGCAUUGCGGGUGUAACCGUCAAACAAGUAGAGUCCCGUUUAUGGUGGUACAAAAGGAUAGUUAACUCCUAUUAUCAAGCCAUGAUCAUAGGGUUAGUGGGCAGUUUAUGCCCACUAACGGUCGUGGUAUGUAGUUAUUAUCCAUGAUUAUAGUAUCGUGAUCAUUGACUCAAAUAUACUGAUUGGCAGUCAGUGAUUUUGAUAUACCGACUAUAUGUCGGUAUUUCUGAUAUAUCGACUGGCCAUCGACUAUAUAGUCGAUCGAGUCGUUAAGAUUGGUUAUCGUUUGAGGUAUAUCCAAAGUUAUCGAUAGACAGUCGAUAUAUCGAUAGAUAGUCGACAAUCCAUGUUCAGCAAUGGUGAUAGAAUAUCGGGUGACGAAUCUUGUAGAGACUAUAGUCAAAUCGAUAACUCCUUUGGCAGUUCUAUUUUGACGGCCCAUCAUCAGUUGCCGAUAUAUAGUUGGGUCCGAUCCUGAAUCGGGAGGAGCAGAUCCGAUUGCCCCAAUAGUAACAAUGAUAUUGUAGAGCUUCCUAUAAUCUAAUGUAAUCAAUGUAAUGCAACGUAAUGUAAGGUGAGGUAAUAUAAUAUAAUAUAAUUUGAUGAUAUGAUAUGAGAAUAUUGAUAUAACAAGGAUAAAGUGUAUUGUAAUUAAUACUACUAAUCAUGCCAUACUAUGUUAUGUAUAUUAUAAUAAUAAUAUAAUACAAUUAUACAUAAAAUAUCAUAUAAUAUCAUAAAAUAAUAUUAUUAGAUUAUAAUGAUAUUAACAUAAUAUUAUUAUAAUACUAUAUUCUAAUAUUAUUAUAUUAUAAUAAUUAUACUAUUAUAAUAUAAUAAUACUUAGAAUAUUAUUUUAUUUUAUAAUAAAUAUGAUAUCAUUUUUGUUAUAUUAUUACAGUAAAUAUUAAAAUAAAUAAUUUAUAUAUUAAGAGUCUUGUAUAUUAAUAGUUUUUGAUAUUGCAAACAAUAUAAUUAUCAAACAACAUACAAGUUUCUAUUAAAAGUUCUUCUAGUAAAAAUUAUGCUAUUCAAAACUCUAUGAGCAAAAGCUCCACUAUAUACCAUGAGACCAAACUAGGUCAUAAUCAACUUUGAGAAGAUCUGGUUUAAAGAAGAUAGUGGUGUAGAAGAUGACCCCUAAAAUCAAUCUUUAGAUUGUAUUGUGACAAUUAACAUUCAAUCAACAUCGCAAUAAUGAAACUCCUUCAAGAUUUUUUGAAAAAUAAUUUUAUACAUUGCAUAAGUAUAUAUAAAUAUUUUUUUGUGCUCAUAUGGCCACUAAUAUAGCUUGGCCACAUUGAUUCCUUUGAGUGGAAGAAAAUAGAAAAAUGAUCAUAGAUUUCUUUGCUCUCAUUUCGGAUUUCAUCUAUUGUUAUCCCUUAAUCCCCUACUCUAACCUCCACUCAUGAUUGUCUCCCACCUCGCCACCAUGUUGUUGGAUGUAUGACCUGAAAAGCUAAUUGUUAGCUGACACAUUGUAUUAAUUCUAAGACAUAUUUUUGUACUUGAUUUAUUAAAAUUAAUAAAAUGAUAAAUUAUUCUAUUUUGGAGUAAUGUGUCCUAGAAUCGUCUAAGGAGUUAAUGAUCAAAGACAUAUAUUCUCAAGAGUUGAGAAUUUGAGACAUGUGUCAUUAUAGAUCCCGAUCGUUGAAUUAUCAUGGAGAUGGUGAUUGAUCCAUCAAAAUCGGUACAUAGAUCGCUUCUUUUUGGAUAGACGAAUCUUGAGUCUACAGUGUGGGGUCACUAGAGCAAGAGUGCAGAUAGUUGUUAGAGAAUAAUGGUACUGAGCGUAAUCAAAAAUGAGAAGAUACUUAGAUAUCUACUCAUUCAUCAGUGACUAUCUCGAUACUGUAGUUGUGCGAGUAGUUCUUAGAUCUGCGGUACUUCGACUGCUCACAGUGGGAUUUCUAUAGUUUCACAACACAUAAAUAUGGUCCCUAGCUAUUCAAGACCUUAUGGUGUUCGUUGGCUACAGUAGGUUCGUUGUAGGAGUAGGUUUAUUCUUAUAGGAGAUUUAUCGACCUUAGUAGUUGAGGAGUAGUCCCAUGCGACCUAAGAGACUGAGUCCUUAAAUCUAUGGCUACAAUAACGUGAUAAUAAAAGAAGUUUUCAUGGGAUUCACGAUUGGACUUAAGCUAAUUAAGUCUUGCAUAUGACAGAUGCUUAGAGUUUGACGAGUUUUCAUGAUUUGCAUCCUAUCGAGGCUUUCGAUAGAAAAAUUUGAUCACAUGGUAACCACACCUAGGGGUUCAUCUUUCUAUUCUACUGAAUUGUUAUUAUAUAUUGCUAGGCAUUACUGAUGGAUUGUGAGAACUCACUGAGAUCAUUUUUGAAUCAACGAUUCUUUUUGGAUUGAAUUCGAAUUAUCCCAACCCAUCGAAAGGAGUUUUGAUGAUACUAUGAUGGAGAUCAUAGGAUUGGAUUUUACCAUCAUAUGGCAACAGGUAUGCAUGCAGAAAUUUUAAAAAUUUUAGGACAAUCGUUCAACAUAAUGUUCUACCGUUAUGUCAAGGCAACCUUAUGUCAGAUCAACAUUAAAAAUAAUUUUUUAAUUAGAUUUAAUCUAAUCUAGCAUAUAUAGAGAUUAAGUCUCAUAACCCAGACAUCAUCAUAUAUGUAAAAUAAAAUCUAAAAGUAGAGGAUUUAAAUUUUAUCUUUGUACAGAUAGAUGUUCACCACGAUCCGAUGAUCUGAAGAUGUCUUCGAUAUUUCACUGUAGCCAUACACAUAUCCGACCUCUAUGGAUAUCCAUCAAAAUUGAUCUGAUCAGGAGAUCUUGCAGAGACGCUCUCUAGAUUAUUGAAUUGAUUUGAUCUUUUGAUCCUAUUCUCAAGAGAAUCAAACACAUCUGUAGAAGGAACUUGAAAUCAGAUCAAAUCUGAUUUCUUUACCUAUUUUCCUCUUCUCAAGAAAAAAUCCAAGAUCUACAGAAGAAAAUAAGAGAUCAAAUAUCUUGAUUUUUCUUCUUAUCCAACUUUUGAACUAGAUUUGAGGAGAAGAAGAGGAGAACCGUCCAUCUCAUGGAUCAAGAAAAUUAAAUCAGAUCAAAUUUGAUUUAAUCAUGUCCAACUCUUAGACAUCUUUGGGAGAGAGGAAGAAAGAGACAUGUCCAACUUUUAGACAAAGAGAGAGGAGGAGAAUUUUCUAACAACCAAUUUUUGGUUGCUGUAAGAAAGAAGAGAUAAGGAAAGAGGAAGAGGGCACCUACCUUUUCUCGUAGAAAAAUCCCUCACAUCCAACACCCAUGAGCCUUGGGCAUCCAGCCAUGAUCUCCAUGCCAAACUUCAUCAUAUGGGCAUCCCAAAUCCUGAUCUUAUCACUAAGGGCGUCCCAACUAAUCCCCUCUAUUUAAACUACGAAGGUUGUUAGGAUUUUGAAGAGAUAAGAGUUGGAAUAGAAUAGGACUCUAUCCCAUAUUGUGCCACCACAUACUAACUCUCCUAAAAAUAUGGUGCCUCCACAUCCCACUCUUUUCUUAUGUUUUCCAUGCCAAAUAGAAGCUUUUCAUCAUGAAAACAAGUAGUAUGUAACCUCUUGGGGCGUGAGGAUUUAAAGGGGGAGUUCCUUGUUUGAUUAGGUCCAGGUCUAGGUCCAAGUCCAAUUGUCAAUUGGAAUCCAAUCUAGAUUAGGUUAAGUGUAAUCCCAUUAGACUAAUGAAAUCUAAUCCAAAUAAAAUUAAAAUCUGAUUUAAUCAAAUUGAAUCUGAUUUAAUUUGACCAAGGCCAAAUCCAAAUCAAAUAUGGGUAAAGAUUAAGUCAAACCUAAUCUAGAUAGGUUUGGAUUAGGUGUUCAUUAGAUCUAAUCCCAUUAGAUUAAUGAAACAUAAUUUGAGUCACACUCAAACCAAAACUAAUCAAAUAAAAUCUGAUUUAAUUUGAUUAGGACUCAAUCAUAAUAUUUAAUCAAAUCAAAUAAUAUGCAAUAAUUACAUUUUAGUUCUCUUGUAACUUACUAACUUUUAGUAAGUCCUCAAUGUAAUUUUUAUAUUUAAGUCCAAUCAUCAAUUAAAUUGAUAAUUAAGAUCACUUAUGAUUUAUAAUUUAAAAUCAUGAUUCGACAGUCUGAUCAGUUAAGACCUCUUUUAUGUGUGAUCUCAUAGCUAUUAUUCUAUCUAGUAGUGAGAAAUAUUUUGAUCUUCAUCAAAAUAUCAUUGAAACUUUUUUCAAUGAUAUUUUGAUCUUCAUCAAAAUAUCAUUGAAACUUCUUUCAAUGAAUUGAAACAAUUUUAACUCUCCAAUUGAGAAUUAUUAAUCAUCAAAAUAAUUCUCGUUGAUUCCACAAUCCAUCAGUGACGCUUAGCAAUAUAUAGUGGUAAUCCAGCAGAACAGAAUAAUGAACCAUUAGGUGUAAUAUCGUGUGAUUCAAUUCUUCUAUCAUGAGUCCCGACAAGAUGGAGGUUAUAAAAAACUC